rnacentral:lncRNA from 1 species
GACGUUAAAGGGGAGGUUACCGACGAAGAGCUUGAGGUCAGAAGAGAAGGAUUGCUCCCGCCGCGGGGGAGGAGGAGCGUCGUCGUCAGCGAAGAUGCCGUCUUCUUCGACUGAGAAGUCGUCAGUAACCGCGACGUUACGGACGAAGCGAGAGGAAGCGGCGGAGAUGGAGAGGGAGAGGGAGGCGGAGAGGGAGUGGAGAUUGAAGGAGAGGGAAGGAGGUGAGAGGGAAGCGGAGGCGGGUCUGGAGAUGGAGAAAGGAAGGGACUUGGGGGUGAAGGUGGAGAGAGCGAGAGAGGAAGCUGAAGCAGCCAUGGUGAAGAGAUGAGAAGAGAUAAGGUUUGUUUUUAGCUUUAGGGGUUUUUUGAGAGUGGAGAUAAGAUGGUGUGUUUCUGAUAUUUAUGGGCCAAAUGGGAAUAAAUAUCUUUGCACAAAAUAUCUCAUUCUGAUUUUUAUUUACAAAAUUUGCCUCAAAACUUUAUUUUAUUGCUAAAUAUUCUGCUGCUAAUAAAAUUUGUCAAAUUUUGAUGAAUUUAUCUUAACGUCAUCUCUAAAAAAAGUAUGUAUUUAAAAAAAAUAUAGGUUUUCAUAAAUUUGUACACAAUUUUUUUAGAAAAUCUUAAUUUUCAAAAUAUUUUGUAUUUUCUCACUUUAGUGGUGUUAUCUUUAGUGAGAUGACAGAUGAGAUGAGAUCUAAGCCGUAGAGUUUUGGAUGGACAGUGGAGAUGGCACGUCUCAUGCCAAGGCCCCAAAAAUAUAAAAAAUCUAUAAGAUAGGAUAUUUUAACUAAAAGCCAAUGGAAUUAACAACUCUCGUUCCAGCACAGAUCUUUAACUCCAAUAAAUUCAGAAAACAAUACAGUUCCUUUAAAGAAAACCACUGAAUCAUACAAAGGUUGCUCCAUUCAAAACAAGUUAAUAAGAAACUAUUUAUUUGGAUAACAAUAGAAGACUGAAGUUCUUGAACUGCAAAACGCUUUUAGGAUCUCUUCAAUUGGAGGGUCAUCUCCAGCUUCUUUGUCCUGAAACGUUCCAACAAACAAGUUGUUGAGUACGAGAUUGUGAUUAAUUUACCCCUUUGAUUACAUUGACAUGGUGUAAACACAAGUAUUUGAUCAAAACGUGUUACCUGGUCCAUACUCCCCGGUCCGAUCAAAACAUGAGAAACACCAGAUGCAUCCAUCACAUGCUAAGAAAACCUCAAAUGUAUCACUUAAUGAAAUGAUCAAAACCACAUCAAGAUUUUGACAUUGUUGUUUUUACUCCGGGAAAGCCGAAAGAAAUAAGAAAAAUCCUAACUUUAAGUUUUAGUUAGAAAAAAAAAUCAAAUUAAAAAAAUCUCGUGGAGUGGAGUUAUUACACGUUGCAUAGAUGACGUAAGCAUUGUCCGAAACAGAAAAAGUCAAACGCCACGUAAGCUCAGUAAGGGUAAAAAGUUUUGGAAAGGUAGAUCCUUUUCUAAAAGCGAAUGUUCCUUCUUUGCACGUUCAAGCGAUCUCAAGCCGCUCCUCUCUCUCUCUCUCUAUCAUCUCUGAAAUGGCGAGAGUACUGCGUGUGGCGAGAUCCUCCUCCUCCCUCUUCAGCUUCGGAAGCAGAUCUUAUUCAGCCGAAGCUAGCCACGUGUCCUCUCCCCCUCCUCCGUUUCUUGGAGCUCGCAGAGACGUUACCAAGGAGAGAAACGUGCAGUGGGUGUUCCUCGGUUGUCCCGGUGUCGGGAAGGGGACUUACGCCAGCAGACUCUCGAGUCUCCUCGGUGUUCCUCACAUCGCCACCGGAGAUCUCGUCCGUGAUGCGCUAGCUUCUUCCGGACCUCUCUCCCGACAGGUUCUUGUUUCACUUUAUGUCCAAAUGAAUCCCAAAACGACGUCGUUUUCUGUUUAAAUCUGCUAAAAGUUCAUGUGUCUACCAACAGAUCUAAUGAACUAGUGUUUGUUUUGUCCUAACGGAUCUGAUCCUUUUUCUAAUAAUAGUCAACGGCUCUCUCCUCUUGCUUGUAUUGAGAUUCUUAUUACUUGAUUGCAGCUAUCAGAGAUUGUAAACCAGGGGAAGCUUGUUUCUGAUGAGAUCAUAGUGAACUUAUUAUCAAAGAGACUUGAAGCUGGUGAAGCCAAGGGCGAAUCAGGUUUCAUUCUUGAUGGCUUUCCUCGUACCAUGAGACAAGCUGUAAGUUAAUUCAUUGACUUCACAUCAUAUUGAGCAAAGUUUUGAAUGAUUAAUCUUUGUGUUUUCAGGAAAUAUUAGGAGAUGUCACUGACAUCGAUCUAGUGGUGAACUUAAAGCUACCUGAGGAGGUUUUGGUUGACAAAUGCUUAGGGAGGAGAACGUGUAAUCAAUGCGGUAAAGGUUUCAAUAUAGCUCACAUCAACUUAAAGGGUGAGAAUGGGAAACCAGGAAUCAGCAUGGAUCCACUUCUCCCUCCACCUCAGUGUAUGUCAAAGCUCAUCACUCGUGCUGAUGAUACUGAGGAGGUUGUGAAAGCUAGGCUCCGUAUUUACAAUGAAACCGUAAGUCCUCUUUCUCUCUCUCUAUUGUUCUUCCCAUUUUAGCGAUGCUUGAUGCUUUGAAUGAUGUGUGCAGAGCCAGCCUCUUGAAGAGUACUACCGUAUCAAGGGAAAGCUGAUGGAGUUUGACUUACCUGGAGGCAUCCCUGAGUCUUGGCCAAGGCUGUUAGAAGCUUUAAGGCUUGAUGAUUACGAGGAGAAGCAAUCUGCCGCGGCGUAGUUCAACUACAACUCCGGUUUAUAAUUCUUUGCAUGUGGAAGACAUGUGCCUAUAUCAGUUUUGUGUUGGAAAAUAAAGAAAACCUUAGAUUGUUUUUUUUUAUUGCCUCAGAUCAGAAUAAUCAUCAUCAUACACACUUUGCAAACUAUAUGAUGUAUCAUGAUUGUUUAUGAGUUUGCUAGUUACAGGAAUGUAUAAACACUUUGGUACACUUUUGAUUAUUUAUUGUUGAAUGUGAUCAAUGAUUGUUUAUGAGUUUGCUAGUUACAUUACAUGAAUGUAUCAAUACUUACACUGCUUGUUACACAUCAGGUUUGAUGUUUGGGCUCUUGUGAUUAGUUUGUUUAUUGUUGAAUGUGUGUGAUAAUAUUGCGGCUGGCCGAGCUGGCUGGUUAAAGAACACAACCAGACAGUAAAGUAAAACAGUCGCAUACAUUAAAGAUUUUGUGGAACGUAUAACCAGCUCCUGUCUGUCCUAGAAUUGGCGGUUCGGGAUAGAACUGUUCCUUACAUACUGGAACUUCCAGUAGAAUUUGAUGCUAAUUGUUGGUCCUAAACUAGUGUGUAUCAGUUGCUAUGUGAUCUCAUAACUGGACCUUAUCUUAUGGUUUGUGCUUGAGGUUUCUGAGAAAUCGCUGGGUUCAUUUGAUUCUUCUGGUUUGACAAUUAGUUUCUUGUUAUGGACACGGUGAAAUCAGACUCAAAUCGGUGGAAUAAGACAGCCUCAAAGAAGGCAGACAUAAUCAUGUUUGCUCUUGAUUCAUCUUCAAUCUCAACAGGACAUUAAAAUCAAUUUGUAGCUUUAUUUUGUUAGUAUAUAGAUUUGAUGAAAUAAACAACCUUUAAAUUAUAAAUAUAAAGAUGAAAAUAUUCUUAAACAUGAAACCGUUUUGAUCAAGAUUCAAAAAAAACUUCAUUAAAAGAUAGGGACAUCUUCUGAAACAUAUCCAAAAAGCUCUAAUGAAAAACAGCAAGAUAAGGUCUUUGAGAUGUAAUGCAAACUCAAGGCCUAGGAAGAUCCUCCUUAACGGUUGGCCUUCGCAACUCUCUCAAUCUCAUCCUUCUUCUUGAUGGCAUAGCUGCAAAAAAACAAGACAAGAUGCUAUUAGUAUUUAGCAACAAACAAACACAAUUUGUGAACCCGCUUUAAGAGACAAGACAAUGUAAAGAUGUUUACCUGUUGGAAGAUCCCUUGGCAGCAUUGAUGAGCUCAUCAGCAAGGCACUCAGCGAUUGUCUUGAUGUUUCUAAACGCAGCUUCACGUGCACCAGUGGUGAGCAAGAAGAUGGCUUGGUUCACACGUCUUAGAGGAGAGAUAUCAACAGCCUGCCUCCUAACCACACCAGCAGAUCCAAUCCUCGUCGCAUCCUCACGUGGACCACUAGCUCACCAAUAAAACACACACAACAUUAGAAAAAAAGGUUUCUAGUAACACGCAAUAAAGAAUGCAACAUUGUUGUCUUACCUGUUGACAAUGGCAUCAAUGAUAACCUGAAUAGGGUUCAAGUCAGUCAAGAGAUGGAUGAUCUCCAUGGCGUGCUUGAUGAUCCUCACAGCCAUCAGCUUCUUUCCGUUGUUCCUUCCGUGCAUCAUGAGAGAGUUCGUGAGCCUCUCAACGAUUGGGCACUGAGCCUUCCUGAACCUCUUCACAGAGUAUCUUCCAGCAGUGUGGGGGACAAAGGUCGCGUGCUUAGCAGGCUGAACACCAAUGUAGUCAACAAGACUAAUGUCUGUGACCUACCCAUUCACAAAAAAAAAAAACACAAGAUCAACAAAACAAAUACUAAGAACAUAGCCAUUGUUGCCAAUUUAAAUUUUAGAGAUCUAAUAUUCAAAAACAAACCAAACAACACAGAAAGUGUUGGACUUUAAGACAAAGAAACAUCAGGAUCAACCAAGUGUACUGAGACAAUAAAACAUGAAUUGAAAAUUAACAAAAAUAAAAACAAAAAGAGGACAUUUUUUCCGACAUAACUCCAUGAGUUAUAUCUAAUUCAGACAAUGUAACUAUUUUUUUGUAAUAGACCAAUCAUUUCAUUGUAGAAUUAGAUCCUAUAAAGAUUGCAAAUGAGCUAUCGUAAACUUACCGAAACGUCAUCAAAGCUCCAGCGAUUGAAGAGCUUGACCUCGUUGGUAAGCUGCUGCUGAAUCUCAGCGUCAAUCUCAACGGCGGCGGCCAUGGCUGGAAACACCAAACAAAAGCUUAGCCACAAGCACACACGCAAACCAGAGAAUCGAAGAUGAAGAAGAAAUCAAUACCUCAAACUCGUAAGCGUCGUGNNNNNNNNNNNNNNNNNNNNNNNNNNNNNNNNNNNNNNNNNNNNNNNNNNNNNNGCGUCGUGUGGAGAUGAGACGGGACUAGGUUUAGCUGCAGCUACUGCUUGAAGAAGGUGGUGAGAAGAAACAAAAACCCUAAUUUUACUAGAGUAUAGGGUUUUUAAAAUGGAUUUUAUUGGGCCCAAUGGGCUUUUCGUAAGGCCCAGUCCAAGUCGUUAUACCAUAAGUCUUUAGAGCAUACUAGAAAGAGAGCAUUCAAUGCGGGAUGUCGACUUGCUAGCUCUCGUCCAUGCACCGUCCGUCGCCAUCAAUCCGUGAGUUUUUAUCGGUUUUUGUUCAAUGACUCCAACGAACUUUGAAAGAUUUGCCCACUCUUCCUUGCAAAUUAAUCACGAGAUCAUCGCCUUGUACUUGUUACUCCAUUUUGUCGUAUUAUCAUAUUUACUUGUUACUCCAUAUUGUCGUAUUAUCAUAUUUUUAUAAGAUAUUCACUAACAGUAACAGAUAAGUCAUUCUUAUCCUAAAGUCAUUUUAAUUCAGAGACGACAAAAUUUAGGAAAAAUAAAUUCUAGAUGAUUUAUCGAAAAAUAUUUGUGUGUAAUGUUAUAGUCAGUUAACUUAAUUCGUUUGCAAUUUCUAGGAAUAAAAAUAUGACAGUCUAAUUCGUUAAAUUAGUAUACUUUCCCAAAAAGACAAAUAAUACAAGCUGAUCUUGAAGAAUCAAUAAAUUAAUGUGAAAAUGAUAGACAAUGAACGUGAAGAUUGCUUGAGAUAUGAUAAGAUACUUUCAAUGCUCCCGACAAGAAAAGCAUUAAUUUGGACUCGUUGAUGCAUGGGGUAGAUAAGAGUGGACAGGGGAGCUUGCAGAGAUUGGAAACAAGUAUGGGGGAUCGAGUUUCAAGAGCAUCUCCUCAAGAAAUGAACAUGAGGAUGAGAACAUUUCUCGUCGACACACAAACUGCUAAGAUAAACUAUUGUGGUAAGAUAGAAUAUAUGUACCACAUCAAUGUCCUAGCUAAGAAUAGAUACCACAGCAAUGUUCUAGCAAAGCAAUAUUGUCGAAAGUUUGUUCAUCUAUAAUUUUCUUUUCCUUUUAAUUAAUUAAGAUGGGUGCAAUUUUUGCCUAGCAACACUAGAAUAUAGAAUAUGGACCACUUAUGUAAUUUAAGCAUGCAUAAUGGCACACUAUAAGUACUAGCUUUUAAAUAAAUAAAGUGAUCCUUCAAUUAAUUAGGUAUUUCAUAUUCUCAAAGUAAGUUAGGUAAUAAUACUUUAAUUUCCACACUUUCUUGACCCAAUAAAACUCCCCAAUAUAUUAUUUGUAGUCUACUUUUUUUUAUUAAAUUUGUAGAUAUUGUUAGAGGAAUAUAGUAUGUUUUCUUUUGAAUUAUUAUCUCUUUUUAUUUAUUUUUAUUUCAAAUAAUAAGUUUGUUUAUUUUUAAGAAGAAUAUCCUACCUCUAGUCAAUUCAAAUUGUUUGUUUCCGACCAUAUUCCAAUCAUGGUAAAUUACCCAAAAAGAACACAAAAUAAUGACGUUGAGACACUCUCAAAAGUUAGCACGUAACAAUUGUAGUAGUGAAAAGACGUCUAAGCAUAUUAAAUAUAUUUACACUUUGAAGACAAAUGCAUAUCUCAUUAUUGACUAUUCAUCAGAUAAGAAGCCAAGAGAGUACUCACUGAGACAUGAGUGGUGAUGAUUUGAGAAUGGAGCUUGCAGAGAUUGGAAAAAGCAUGGGGUCGAGUUUCAGGAGCAGCUCCUCAAGAAACGAGGAUGAGGCAGAGCAUGCUCUGCAGUGGGCUGAGAUCCAAAGAUUACCUAGUUUCAAACAACUGAGAUCAUCUCUGGUCGAUGAAGAAGGGGAUGAUGUGGAGAAAGGGAAAAGGGUCGUUGAUGUCACCAAGCUUGGAGCCAUGGAACGUCGUCUGAUGAUUGAGAAGCUGAUCAAACACAUUGAGAAUGACAAUCUCAAGCUGCUCAAGAAAAUUAGAAGAAGAAUAGACAGGUAUAUGUGAAAACAAAGAAACAAACCUUGUGAAUCUUGAACUGAGUUGUUACUUUGCAGGGUUGGUGUGGAGCUUCCAAGCAUAGAGGUGAGGUAUAAGCAUCUAAGUGUUGAAGCAGAAUGUGAGGUCGUUGAAGGGAAGGCGCUUCCAACUUUAUGGAAUUCUUUGAAGCACAUUUUCUUAGUGAGUAUACUUGAGAAUAUAAUGCAUUUUGCCAGUAGGUAGUAAAUUGUUGUGAACAAACGCGAAUUAACUUCAAAGAAAACAAAAAAAACUUGAAAAGAACAAAGCACGAUUGAGGCAAAUAUCAUUUUAAAAUUUGUAUAUUGAUUAUGUGAAUAAUUAAAUCUACAACAACUUAGACAGUUGUUAACAUAACUAGUAUUGAACUAUACUUUUUUCUUCUUUAGGAGUUGGUAAAGCUGAGUGGUGUAAGAACACAUGAAGCCAAGAUAAGCAUACUUAACGAUGUUAGCGGCAACAUUAACCCUGGAAGGUAGCUUUUGAUCCAAGCUUUGAGUUAGUGUGUAAUGCACGCAACUAAUGCUCUCUUCUUGUUGCUCCAAGGUUAACACUGCUGCUUGGUCCUCCUGGAUGUGGAAAAACUACUCUGCUCAAGGCUUUGUCCGGAAACUUGGACAAGAAUCUAAAGGUUUUCAGACUUUGUUUCAAUCUGAUUCUCAUGAUGCAGAUGUGUAAACCACAGAACUCUUUUGUUUUCCACAGAUUUCUGGUGAAAUCUCUUACAAUGGACACGGUCUAAACGAGUUUGUUCCUCAGAAGACAUCCGCUUACAUAAGCCAACACGAUCUGCACAUUGCGGAGAUGACUGUUAGGGAGACAAUAGACUUCUCAGCUCGUUGUCAAGGUGUUGGUAGUCGAACAGGUAAGAUGUCUUCUGAAGCAUCCGCUAAACUAUUUGCUGAAACAGAUAUAUCAAUUUUCUCUGUACCAAUGUUCAAAAAGUUGUUUGGCUAUAACUAUGCAUUUUAUAGAGGACUACCGAUUAGAUUGAUUAUUCGGGGCAGUGCUAACGAAAUAUUGAUUUGUUUUAUAUAUUUUUUACAUUUUUAUAUGAUAUUUUUUGGCUUUAAUUAUAAAACUAUUUUGAUGAAUUGUAAAAAUUAAAUAUACAAAAUAAAACAAAUUAGAAAAAUCUGUGGAUUUGCACUAACAUAAUUGGUUAAUUUAGAUUGAUUUAAACCAAUUUUAACUGAUUUAGAACAAUUCAAACCGAUUUGAAUCAUGCUCUAUACUAUUGGCUGAAACAGAUAUUAUGAUGGAGGUCAGUAAAAGAGAAAAGGAUGGUGGAAUCAUUCCUGACCCUGACGUAGAUGCUUACAUGAAGGUCCCAUUCCAUAAGCUAAUCUUUUAAGAGGGAUGAUUAUAAAACCUUUUGUUAAUCCCAUUGUGCAGGCUAUAUCGGUUAAUGGACUUAAAAGAAGUCUACAAACAGAUUACAUCUUGAAGGUAAUUUCUCUGACAACAACUCAGACUUGUAAUCCUUGUUGAUUAGCUUCUUGAUUAUGUCAUGUAUUUGCAAUUUGCAUUUCUUUUUCUUCAGAUCCUAGGGCUUGACAUAUGUGCAGAAACAUUGGUUGGUAAUGCCAUGAAAAGAGGCAUAUCUGGUGGUCAAAAGAAGCGUCUUACUACAGGAGAGAUGAUCGUUGGUCCAACAAAAGCUCUGUUUAUGGAUGAAAUCACAAACGGCUUAGACAGCUCCACAGCGUUUCAGAUAGUUAAGUCACUUCAGCAGCUGGCUCACAUCACCGACGCAACUGUGUUUGUUUCCCUUCUUCAGCCUGCUCCAGAGUCAUAUGAUCUCUUUGACGAUAUUGUCUUGAUGGCUGAAGGAAAAAUAGUUUAUCAUGGUCCAAGAGGCGAGGUCUUGAGGUUCUUUGAAGAGUGUGGGUUUAGAUGCCCAGAGAGGAAAGGUGUUGCAGACUUUCUACAAGAGGUAAGAAGCCAAGUUUAUGUUCCUUGACACUUACGUUUUGUUCUGAGUUGUUUUUGUUUUGCAGGUUAUAUCUAGGAAGGACCAAGGACAGUACUGGCUGCACCAGGACAUACCCUAUACCUUUCUCUCAGUAGACGCGUUGUCCAGGAGAUUCAAGGAGUUAGAGAUUGGGAGAAAGAUUGAGGAUGCUCUCUCUAAGCCCUAUGAUAAUUCAAAAACCCACAAGGAUGCUCUCUCUUUCAGUGACUAUUCUCUUCCAAAGUGGGAGCUGUUCAGAGCAUGCAUCUCAAGAGAGUUUCUAUUAAUGAAGAGAAACUCUUUCGUCUACCUCUUCAAGACGUUUCAGGUUACAUUCUUCGUUCCUUGUGUCUUCUUUCAAUGUUCUAGGGUUAGGUCUAAAGAAACCCUUCUUGCCCUUUAUGUUUUGCAGCUUGUUCUGUCAGCAAUCCUCACUAUGACAGUUUUUAUUAGAACACGUAUGGGUGUAGAUAUCAUUCAUGGAAACUCUUACAUGAGUUGUCUCUUUUUCGCAACCGUUGUGCUUUUGGUGGAUGGUUUGCCAGAGCUGUCUAUGACUGUUCAACGUCUUGCCGUGUUCUACAAGCAAAAGCAACUUUGUUUCUAUCCAGCUUGGGCUUAUGCAAUCCCUGCAACCGUGUUAAAGAUCCCUCUCUCUUUCUUCGAAUCUCUCGUUUGGACUUGCCUUACUUACUACGUCAUUGGAUACACUCCUGAAGUCUCUAGGUAAGAAGAACUCUAUAACCAUCUCUUGCUUGCUCCCUACUCAAACGAUUAUGGAAAGUAAUGGUUACUUGGUGUUUUUAGGUUCUUACGUCAGUUCAUGAUGCUCUUUGCUGUUCACUUCACAUCCAUAUCCAUAUUCCGAUGUAUAGCUGCAAUCUUUCAGACAGGAGUUGCUUCAAUGGCAGCUGGUAGUUUCGCCGUAUUAAUCACCUUUGUGUUCGCCGGUUUCGCCAUCCCAUACAGUAAGACUUUUGCACUCUUUCUUCAUUUCAGUCUUGUUCCAAACUUCCAUCAAAACAUGACCAGGGCCGGAUCUAGGCACAGCCCAAUAAAACAUCGGUCUCGGUCCCUAAAUUUUUUGAAAUUUUUAGUACGAAUAAACCCCUAAACUAUAGAAAAAAAAAAUUGUUUUACUAAGAUUUUUAAAUGUUUCAAGCUCCCAAAAUCUCAUAUCCGGCCCUGAACGUGACAUUGGUUUUGUUGCUGCAGCUGAUAUGCCAGGGUGGCUGAAAUGGGGAUUCUGGGUGAAUCCUAUAGGUUACGCAGAGAUUGGGCUCUCUGUAAACGAGUUUCUUGCUCCGAGAUGGCAGCAAGUAAGUAUCUCAUCUUUUUACAUACUUCUCUUCAUCAUUCUUACAAGACUAAUCAAGUUUUUCUUGUUAUGUUUUGUAGAUGCAACCAACGAAUGUUACAUUGGGGAGAACCAUACUUGAAAGCAGAGGACUGAACUAUGAUGAUUACAUGUACUGGGUCUCAUUAUGUGCCUUGCUGGGACAGACUCUCCUCUUCAAUACUAUUUUCACUCUAGCUUUGAGUUUCUUGAAAUGUAAGUUACAAAAUAUCGAAAAAUAUGCCAUGGACUAAAGCAUAAACUGAAGAGCUUCUUUUUUAACAGCUCCCACUACAUCUCGCGCUAUGAUCUCCAAAGACAAGCUCUCUGAGCUGCAAGGAACAAAAGAUUCAUCACUCAAUAAGAACAAGAAGGCAAUAGAUUACACAGAAGAUUCAGGUGAAACAUAUAUGUCUUUCUUGUCAUACAAGCAAACUCUUUAUUCUCAGUUUAGCUUUAUUGACCUAAUUCAUUCAGCAGGGAAGAUGGCCUUACCUUUUAAGCCUCUCACCAUAACAUUUCAAGAUUUGAACUACUACGUUGACGUUCCUGCGGUAAAAUCUUCUCCUCCCCAUCCUUGGAUCUUAACCAUCUUCAUAUGCAAACAUGAUCAUCAAAGGACGUUUUGACUAAUCUUAGGAGAUGAGAGUUCAAGGAUACAAUGAGAAGAAACUGCAGCUUCUCUCAGAUAUCACCGGAGCUUUCAGACCAGGCGUUCUAACAGCGUUGAUGGGGAUCAGUGGAGCCGGAAAAACAACUCUACUCGACGUUCUCGCCGGAAGAAAAACAAGCGGAUACAUCGAAGGAGAGAUCAGAAUCAACGGAUACUUUAAAGUCCAAAAAACCUUCGCAAGAGUCUCAGGCUACUGCGAGCAAACAGAUAUACACUCACCAAACAUCACCGUCGAGGAGUCUCUAAUCUACUCAGCUUGGCUCCGUCUAGUUCCAGAAAUAGAUCACAAAACCAAAAUAGUAAGCCGGCCCUAGUGAUUCUAAAAAAGGCAAGAAUGACCUAGAAAGUAACUUGACUGAAAAGAAACUCGUUGCAGAGAUUCGUGAAGGAAGUUCUUGAGACGAUAGAGCUGGAGGAGAUCAAGGACGCGAUGGUGGGAGUCCCCGGCCAGAGCGGGCUGUCGACGGAGCAGAGGAAGAGGUUGACGGUGGCGGUGGAGUUGGUGGCGAAUCCUUCGAUCAUAUUCAUGGACGAGCCGACGACGGGGCUGGACGCAAGAGCAGCAGCCAUUGUGAUGAGAGCUGUGAAGAACGUUGCGGAGACUGGACGUACCAUUGUGUGCACUAUUCAUCAGCCUAGUAUCGAUAUUUUUGAAGCCUUCGACGAGGUACAUAUGUUUUUCAAAUAUGAAAAGUAUUUAUAGUGGUUUUGUUUUAAAAGAAUACUCUCACAUGUAUUAUAUUAACAUUUUAUCCAAAAGUAGAUAUAAGAGAUUUUUUUUCUUCAAAAUAGCCUUUAUCAAAAAUUUGAAAAUUAUAGAAUAAUUGAGUUUAGGGUUUAAAAGGGAUGGGUGAGAUUAGGUUUUAUAAAUUAAAGUAACUUAAUUUUUUUUAUUUAAAUGAGUGUGUUUUGAAGAUCUGUUAGUGUUAUAUUUGUGAUAAACUUUAAAAGUGCUAUUUUGGAGUUUUGACUAUUUUGUGGAUAAUUAAGAAGAAAUUUCUUAUAACAUAUUGUUUUUAUUACAUGUUCAGUUGGUACUUCUGAAGAGAGGAGGUCGCAUGAUUUACACUGGACCACUUGGACAACAUUCUUCUCAUGUCAUACAGUAUUUUGAGGUUAGCGUGUUAUACAAGAAAAUGAGCCAGUUUAGUUUCUAUGACUUUUUCAAUGUUUUAACGAAAUAAUUAACUAUGUAUAUUUUUGUUAUUUGGGGUUAAUGAACAGAGUAUCUCUGGAGUUGCUAAGAUUAAAGACAACUACAAUCCAGCAACAUGGAUGCUAGAGGUCACUUCACAGUCUGUAGAGAUUGAACUCAACAUGGAUUUUGCAAAAAUCUACAAAGAAUCUGCUCUCUACAAGUGAGCUGAAUAUCUCAAAAACAACUGAAACCUUGUCAUUUAUUACGAGCUCAUGUGUUUUCUCUGUAGCAGGAGCAACUAUGAGCUUGCUCAGGAGCUGAGCAAACCGGAUCCCGGGUCAAGCGAUUUACAUUUCGAGAGAACUUUUGCGCAGAGCUGGUGGGAACAGUUCAAAUCUUGUCUAUGGAAGAUGAGCUUGUCUUACUGGAGAAGCCCUGCUUACAACUUGAUGCGAAUCUUUCACACUUUAGUCUCUUCUUUGAUCUUUGGUUUACUCUUCUGGAAGCAAGGUCAAAAGAUGUAAGUUAGUUGCAUAAAAUACAUUCAAAUCAUCAUUAGAGCAUGUUCAUUAGUGAGACCCUUAAGUGUCUCUUAAGUGGGGUUUAAUAAUUUUUUAACUAUUAAAUUUAAUAUAAGAGAUUUUGUUAAGAAACACUUAAUUAUAGUGGUUUAUUGGUGGUUUCUUAAUUAAGGUGCUUAACAAAUAAAAAAAUAUUAAACUUUUUUUAAACAUAAAAUUUUAAACAAAGAUUAAUUUUAUUUAUUAAAUAAAACAAAGUCAAACAUAACAUUUUAAACAUAGAUUUUAAAAUAAAAAAAAUUAAAACAUUAAAACAAAGAUUACUAAAAUAAACAAUACUAAUUUUAAAGCGGCAUCCAAGUUCAGUUGUUGUGUUGAUCACGUCCAAAUUUAUGCCAUAUAUGUUCAACCAAAUCACCUUUCAGUUGUUGAUGCGCUUGUCUAUCACGAAUUCUUGUUCGAACACCCAUCUGAUUGGCGAUAUUUGUAGGGAUAUCUGUAGAAUAUGUUAAAUCUACAUAUGAACUUCUGCUGCCUUCGCCUUGUUGGAAUCCCGAGACAUCAAACUAACUGCAUUCAUCCCGUUCGUUUUCUACUAUCAUAUUAUGGAGUAUGAUACAUGCUCUCAUAAUCUUCCCAAUCUUGACUUUAUCCCAACAAAGUGCUGGAUUUUUAACAAUGGCAAAUCGAGCUUGCAAGACUCCGAAAGCACGCUCGACAUCUUUUCGGGCAGCUUCUUGAUGUUGAGCAAAUAAAACUGCUUUCGGCCCUUGUGGAAGUGAAAUAGAUUGGAUGAAAGUUGCCUAUUUCGGAUAAAUUCUAUCGAUCAGAUAGUAAGCCAAAUCAUACUCUUUUCCGUUGACUGAGAAAUUCACUUGCGGGGCUUGACCAUUUAUGAUGUCAUCAAAAACAGGUGAGCGAUCUAGAACAUUAAUAUCAUUUAAGGUACCUGGAGGUCCAAAAAACGUAUGCCAUAUCCAGAGAUCAUAUGAAGCAACCGCCUCUAAAACUAUUGUGGGUUUCCCCGAACCACGAGAAUAUUGCCCUUUCCAAGUGGUGGGACAAUUCUUCCACUCCCAAUGCAUACAAUCGAUGCUUCCUAUCAUCCCGGGAAAUCCACGAACCUCUCCAAUAUAAAGUAGACGUUGAAGGUCAUCCGGUGUUGGUCUUCUUAGGUACUCAUCGCCGAACAAAUUUAUGAUUGCUUCCACAAAAUUUUCCACACAUAACCGAACAGUGGUUGCACCGAGCCUGAGGUAUUCGUCGACCGCAUCAAGCGCAGAACCAUAUGCCAACACACGAAUAGCUGCUGUACACUUUUGAAGCGGGGAGAGACCUUGCCUUCCGGUAACAUCCUUCUUCUGACGAAAGAAUUGGACUUCGUUGGAGAGGCGAUCAACAAUAUACAUGAACAAAGGCUUGUUCAUUCUAAAUCGACGUCGGAAUAGAUUUGCUGGAUAUGUCGGCGCGUCACUGAAAUAAUCAUUCCAUAACCGGAGAUGGCCUUCUUCACGAUUUCUUUCAAUAAAAACUCUCUUUUUCUUUUUCUUCCUUUGAUCUUGUUGAUCACCAUAAACAUUGCACAAAUUCUCAAAUGUUUGUUCGAAAGUCUGAUCAAAAUAUUUAUCGAACAUUUCAUCAAAUGACUCAUCCAAAUCAAAUGACUCAUCCGAGAUGUGAUUUGAAGACGAAGCCAUGAAAGACUUGAUUUCGAAAAUUUAAGAAUGGUGAGUGUGUGAACGUGAGAUGAAAAAGAGAAGGAAGAGAGAACAAAGAGAACCGAGAGAAUGAGAACGUAGAGAAUUGUGAGUAUGAUCAGUUUUUAUUUUACAAAGAGAAUGAAGAACCGAGAGAAGAACAUGAGACUAUAGAGAUAGAGAAUGGUAAGAGAGAAUGGUGAUUUCUUUACGCUCUCAGCACAAACAUUUUAUAACCGUCACCGUUAGAGAGAGAGAGCUCGCCGUUGUCCAUCGUCGACGAGAGAAACCCAUAGAAACGUCGACAAGCUCAACGGAGAGGGAGAGAGAGGAAACGCCGUUUCGUCGACGAGAUCACCGAGACAGAGAGAGAGAGAGAGAGAGGAAUCACCUUUUCGUCGAGGAGAGCACCGACAGAGAGAGAAAGAGCUCGCCGUUGUCCAUCGUCGACGAGAGAAACCAAUAGAGACGUCGACGAGCUCAACGGAGAGGGAGAGAGAGGAAACGCUGUUUCGUCGACGAGAUCACCGAGACAGAGAGGGAGAGAGAGAGGAAUCGCCUUUUCGUCGAGGAGAGCACCGACAGAGAGAGAAAGAGCUCGCCGUUAUCCAUCGUCGACGAGGAAUAUCCAUAGAGACGUCGACGAGCUCAACGGAGAGGGAGAGAGGAAUCGCCGUUGUCGUCACUCUUGCGGAGCAACCGAGAAGAGAAAGGAAAGAGAGAAAGAAACAAGAACGACUUCACCGUUCGGAGAGCCAAUAACGACGUGACACGUCGCCCAAAUUACCGUGUCUUCGAGCACUUAAUUAGGGGACGUCCCUUGGCUUUAUUUCGUGUUUUCCAUUUUUUUUUAUGAUUAAUUAAGUUAAGGGACAUGCUUAAGAGCUGCCUUUGAACAUGCUCUUACAUUCCUAGUAAAGAACUGUCUCACACAUUAGGAAAGUACUAUUUUAUUUCAAAAAUAGCACACAAGAAUAUUUUUUUCCAAAAGAGUAUUAACUAAAAGUAUAUGGGUGUGGAUUUAGUGAUUAUGAUUUAGGGUUUAAUAUUUAGAGAGUGGAGUUAGGGUAAGAGUUUAGGAUACAGAGUAAUUUAGUCAAUUUAAUCUUUAACUAAUUAUAGUUUGAGAAUUUUUCUCUUAUGUUCUAUUUUUGUCAUAAUUGUUUGUAUUUUUUUUUUUUUGGCAGAGAUACUCAACAGAACUUGUUCACAGUUCUUGGAGCCAUCUAUGGCCUUGUGAUAUUCUUGGGGGUAAACAACUGCACUUCAGCUUUACAGUAUUUUGAGACAGAGCGUAACGUUAUGUACCGCGAAAGAUUCGCUGGAAUGUACUCUGCCUUUGCCUUUGCACUGGCUCAGGUUGUGACCGAGAUUCCUUACAUUUUCAUCCAAAGCGCAGAGUUUGUGAUCAUAAUAUAUCCUAUGAUGGGUUUAUACGGAUCUGCCUAUAAAGUCUUUUGGAGUCUCUACUCAAUGUUCUGCAACUUACUCUCCUUCAACUACUUAGCAUUGUUCCUCAUCUCCAUCACUCCAAACUUCAUGCUCGCAGCUAUUCUCCAGUCUCUUUUCUUCGUUGCUUUCAACCUUUUUGCUGGAUUCUUGAUUCCACUACCGGUAAGUUCUUUUUGUAACAAGUCAUUAUAUACCAUUAUCAUCAUCGUUGAUCUUUACCUAUAGUUAAUAGUGUUUUUCCUUGAUGUUGAAACAAUGCAGCAAAUACCAAAGUGGUGGGUGUGGCUUUACUAUCUAACACCUCCCUCUUGGAGUCUCAAUGUGUUUUUCUCGUCUCAGUACGGUGAUAUUCAUCAAGAGAUCAAUGCAUUUGGAGAAACCACGACCGUGGCGAGAUUCUUAGAGGACUAUUUUGGAUUCCAUUAUGAUCGUUUGAUGACUUCAGCCAUUAUUCUCAUAGCGUUUCCAGUUGCAUUGGCUUCUAUGUUUGCUUUCUUUGUUGCCAAACUCAACUUUCAGAAACGAUGAUCCAUCACACACCAACCAAAGGUUUGAAACACCAAAGGGUAGUUUACAAAUUACUGUAUGGACAUGCACGUAUUCGUUGUCACACUAUUUGUAAACACUAAACAAAUGCAAAAUUUAUUUAUAAAAUCAUAAGAAAGUUGGAUAUACUCUAAUGCAUCAAAAUAAAUAGGUCUACAACAUAAUAGUAACUCUCUUAUUUUUUUACCAUAGAGAAAUGAUCUACGGCUGAAUACUUCAAAUAUUAAUUAGUAUACUGCUUCAUGCAAUUGAAAUGAAUAGUAAAGUAUACUGCUUCCUUUAUUCAGGCACAUCAUAAUUUUCAAGAAGAAACGUCAUUUUCUUUCUUUGAUCACAAAAGACACAAGAAGAAAGAGACAUGUGUGUGUCUUGUCGUCCUCCCCAUCUCUACUAACACUUUGAAUUUAAUACUGUCAAACUCAAAGGUCUCCUAAAGCCUAAUUAAUCCCUUUAUGAUCACAUGCCCUUCUCCUUCCUCUCUCUCUCUCCAUUCUCCUAGUACCCAUCAAGAACUUCCACAAAAGUAUUAAACUGUAGCUUCAGGAUCCAACCUCAGAGAAACGGUUCUCAAUCAAGGUUAUUUGAGUAUUGGAUAUUCUUGAUUCUUGAACUCAGGAAAAGUCAUUACUAGCCUGUGAUUCUGCUUCAUGACUUGAGGUUGAAGCAACAACACUUUCUUCACCAGAAGAAACAUCUUUGAUCUUUGAACUUAACUCUUCUUUUUCUUCUUCCACGGAGGCAACAUUUUCAGUUUCUUGAUCAAUGUUUUCUUCCUCAACAAAUCCAUUUCCAUGAGUUUCUUUUUCCUCUCCUUCUUCCUUGGAAGCUGAGGUGGAAACCGAUGAUAAACAAGAAACUUCAGAUGAACUCAACUGCUCUGAUCCUUCAGAACUGCGAGACCCUUUUAUGGAUUCAAGCUUUUUCAUCAGAAACUUUAGUCUCUUCUCUGCUUUCUCCCUUAAUCUGAUCUCUUCUUUCAGAUUUUUCUCCAGCUCUUCCAUCUGUUUCCAAGAGAUUAAAGGUUUUCUUUGAAACAAAAAUCAGCUUAUUACCAAACAAAGAUUAAAAAAAAUAAAAAUAACAGAGCAAAUGAAUUUACAAGUAACAAGAAUGACUCUUUUCUUGGUUGUUGAUUAAACCCAAAUCUUCAAAAAAGUAGUGAGAAAAAGGCAUUUCUUAAACAAGAAUGAUGAUACUAAGGAUUUUAUGAAACUUACCUUUCUGGUAAUGAGGUCUGCUUCAUCUUUUACAGACCUUGAAACUUGCCUCUCUGCAAGCAGUCUCCCUCUUAGACACUCCACAGUUCUCAGAUUUCCCUUCUCUUCUCCUUCCUCCAUCUUCUUACUUGCAAAAUUUGUUCUUAAACAAAAAAAAAGAAGAUAAAAAUCAAUUCCUCAUAUACACUCUCUACAUAGAACUUUCUUAAAAUCACACAAUACGACAUAUACAUGUAUAUAAAGAGAAAGAGAAACCUGCAUUUCGUGUUGUAAUUGAAGGGAUCAAUUGUCAUACUGUUCUUUAUAUAUUCAAAAACCAGAACCAGAUUGGUAAAAGCUUGUAAAGCUCAACUUCUCACCUAACUGCAAAAAGGGUAAACUAAAAAUAAUAAGACAGUUAAGACCAAUGUGUUGUUAGAUUGAUGUCACUAUGAUUUACAUUUAUUGUUCAUUCAGUAAGAGGAACAUAUCAACAUCAUAUCUUAAAAACCAACUUACCACGACACAGUCGACACUCUUCUUUAACAAAAAAAAAAAAAAAAUCUCAAGUUCAAAUAGUAAAACAGAUCCAGUUUCAAAUUCAAACCCCCUCACUUGGUAGAGAAGAGUGAAAUGAACUUAAAACCACAAAAGUUUUGAAGUUCUCCUGAAAAGAAGAACAGAAUCUGUGGUGUAGGGACAUGUUGUAAGCAAAACGACAGUGUGGGAUUGGACUUUUGUUACCUUCUCGUGAGUUGGUUGGUAACUCUCCCACUUCAAGACCUUUUUUAUGGUUAAUAAAUUUAACUUCUUACUACAAGGUUAGUUUUAUAUUAUAUGAUACCGCAAAUAUGCAUGUGAACAAGAGGAGUCAUCCUAUUUGUUAAUAUUAAACCAUAUUGCUAUACAAUUUUAGUUUUACCAAGUGUCACAGAUCCCUUCGUCAACAAUAUCACAACAAUACAAAAACAACAUUUCUUGGCCACACAGAAAGUUAAUGCUCCCAAGUCCCAACCUCUCGCUAUAAUUUUACUAAAUAGUUUGUGUUAAUUUUCUUUUUCAAAUUAGAUAAUUAGUUACCAACACGCAAAGAAAACAUUCGAGUGAUUAAGAGCUCACUUGUACUUCACUCAAAGAUCAAAGUAAUUACCAUAACCCUUUUAAUCAAACUAUACUUAUUUUGUGAAGCAACCUAAUGAAUAUAUUCUUGUUCUUAUUAGGAACCCCGCCACUUCAAUCCAAGCCACUUAGUAACUCUCAAGUUAUAGCGAGCUUGGGUAUGAUCUUACCGAUCAUUCAAAGUUAUGUUCACUGACAACAAUAAAAACUACAUAUCAUGAAAAGCAAAAUCAUUACACAUAAACUCUUUUAGAAGCCCCACAAGAAACCCUUUUGAACUCAUUCGACUUCACGGCAAGAAAAUCAAAAAGCUUCAUCAAGCUCUUGUUUCAUGAUACACUCCUUGUCACUCAUCGACUCAACCACACCCUCUAUCAUCUCAUACAUCUCGUUGCUUCUCUCACACGAACCAUCUUUCGCAAUGAAACUUCGUAAUCCUUUACCAGUAUCGAUCCAGCUAGUUCCAGGGAUUUUCUUCAAUCCGAUUUUUUUCAUCUUAUCCCUUACCAUCUCAGCUUCUUCCCAUCUCCCUGCUUGAGUGCAUAGAUUCGCCAUGAUAGUGUAACUCCCUGUAUUUUCUGGUUACAAAAAUAGUAAUACUUAUAUAUAAAAAUUAAUUUUAUUUAAUAUAUUUUCAUUUUUAUAAUAGUAUAUAUAAAUUUNNNNNNNNNNNNNNNNNNNNNNNNNNNNNNNNNNNNNNNNNNNNNNNNNNNNNNNNNNNNNNNNNNNNNNNNNNNNNNNNNNNNNNNNNNNNNNNNNNNNUAUCAUUUUCGUUAAUGUAAUAGGAGGGCCAACCCAAACAGAGAUUGUCAUGAGCGAGAUAGACACACCAGAGAGCUUUCAGCUUAUGGAGUUUGGAGUUAUUUUCGAGGCGACGAAUCACUUUUCCGAAAGCAACAAAGUCGGACAAGGUGGUUUUGGUCCAGUUUACAAGGUAUUUUAAUUUCUCUAGCUAUUUGGACCGAAUCAAAUUAAACUUGAAUCGGCCGGUGACUUGUCUUUCAUUCAACUAAAAAACUAAUAAUAAUAAGGGAAAAUGUGAUGGUAUUGCAGGGAACCUUGCCUGAUGGAAACGAGAUCGCAGUAAAAAGAUUGAAAGCGAGAUCAUCUCAGGGGAUGGCAGAGUUCCGAAAUGAAGUGACUCUGAUUUUACGUGUACUACACGUGAACCUCGUCCGACUUCUAGGCUGUUGCAUCCAUGGAUACGAUAGACUAUUGGUCUACGAGUUCCUGGAGAAUUCUAGCCUCAGCAGCUAUAUCUUCAGUUACUCUCACUCUCUCUCUCUCUAUUCUAGAAUUUACUUGUUAUUUUGUAAACUUUAAACUUGAUUCGUUUUGUUUUUGAUUGAUUACCUCAGAUCAAACUAGAAGCCCGCUCCUAAACUGGGAGCAUAGGUUCGAUAUAAUGAAAGGUAUUGCUGAAGGAUUGUGCUACCUCCACAACUUCACAAGCCCACCGAUACUUCACCGCGACCUGAAACCAAGUAAUGUGCUUCUAGGCAGAGACAUGAUCCCAAAAAUCUCAGAUUUUGGGCUGGCUCAGAUGAUGGAAACUGGCACCACAGAAGCUGCAAUGGAAACAGCAGUAGGAACUUAGUAAGCAUCAACAAAUUGUUAAAACUUUCUUCUUCUUCUUUUUUUUUUUUUCACUAAAACAAAAUCACAAUCAAUUAAUUAAAUCCUCUUUUGUUUGUUUUUUGUGCAGCGGCUACAUGUCUGAAGAAUAUGCGAAAGAUAAUAUCAUGUCCCAGAAAUCAGAUGUCUUCAGUUAUGGAGUAGUGUUGUUAGAGAUUCUUACUGGAAGGAGAAAUCAUGAGUAUUGUAUUGCAAAUCCAGGAGAUAGUCUUCUCGACUUCGUAAGUUUAAUUUUUCUUUGUAUUCUUAAAAUUUUAAAGAAAAUUUAUAUUUUAGAGUUUUUUAAAAAGGUUUGGAGGCGAUGGAAGGAUGGUACUGGAUUGGAGGUCGUGGAUUCGAGCUUCCAUGAUGAUUCAUUUAUAGAAGACCAGGUUUUACGAUCAAUGAAGAUUGGUCUAUCCUGUGUUCAACAAAAUAUGCACGAUAGGCCUAGUACAAGGACCAUUGUGGUUAUGUUUGAAAAUGGCCCACGAUCAGAAAUUCUAGAUCCGACGAGACCAAACUAUAAUCUCACAAGAGCUGAUUCAUCUUCUUCUCCAGUUACCGUUACCGACCAAUCAGUCACUAUUAACGAGGCCACUUUGUCAUGCACUGACGCCAGGUGAUGUUUUUAUGUAGUGCGUUUUUCUACUAGUUUACUUAAAAAAAAAAAAAUUUGAACUAUCAUUCCUAUGUUAUGUUUAAUUUCAUGUGUUUUUUCUUCUAGUUUACUCUUUGAAAAAAUAACUACUAUUAUUCAUAUGUAAUGUUUUUAGUUGUUUGGGUCUCAGUGCGGGAGACUGAUACUUUAAUGGUUUAUCUCUUUUGCUAUGCACUUAAUGACAACGAACAUAAUAUCUCGAUAUAAUAAUUAACAACUAGGAUGAGACAAAACCAAAACCAAAACCAAAGGCAACAAGUUACAAGACAAACUGUUCAAAGUCAAUCUAAUCACAAAGAUAAACCCAGUUACAUAAUAUCCCACCUAUUUUUGUUUUUUAGCUGGUGUUUGAUCGAUGUUCUUCACCUGCAAGCAAAAAUGUGGCUUUAGCUGCUUCCUCUUUUGGUGUCUGAAAUGCUUUAAGAACAGAGAGAGAGAGAGGGAGAGCAAAAUUGUUUUACUGGGCCGCAUUCUAAAUAGUACGGCUUUGGUAAUUAUGUAAACAUAUCUUAUACCGAGACAAAUAAGAAUUAAAUUAAGUUAUCCUAUCAAUUAAUUUCAAAACCUCCACUUAGUCUAAUGAUUAACGGAAUCAUUUGGUUAGAAUAAUUAUUUAGCCAUAAACACCAAAAUCACAUGGAACAUAAGCUCAAUUACCUGUUUGGUGCCUUCAACAGAAGAAGUACGACCCCAUCUCUCAGGGGUCCCAAAGUAUGCUACUGUUGAAAGCAAAGCUUGAUAUAUGAACCGGAGGCUUUAUCUCUGUCUUGUUAUUAAUUUUUCUCAAAUGCCACCCCAAAACUUGUGAAGAUUCACAAACCGGCCUCUCUACUAUCACUCGCUUCCUAUUAGCUGAUACCAAUAUGUAUACAUUGUUUAGCCCCGCAAAAUGGACUAUCCCGCUUUGUUUGUGAUGCUCAAUGUGUCUCAACGCUAGGUUCCUUUGAUGAUCAAGCUCAAAUUCAAAGCUCGUGAAGUUUUCUUUGAAGACUAUACGUCUAUACAUUAAACCAGUUUUUCUUAACAUUGUUGGUGAAGAGUUUUCUUCAGCAUCGGAGUGUUUCUCCACGACUAUCCACAAUAAAGGAGGUGGAACUAGCCUCAAAGUAUUGGCCAUUCUCCUAAGGAGCACAAUUUUGUAACGAUCUUUCGUCAUUACCCAGAGUUACAACAAUCACUAGACCUCUUGGUGCAACUUCUUCUUCUUCUGUCUUGGAGAGUGAUCUGGUUUCUUGUUCAGGUUCUUGUGACUUCAAAGGUGCUGGGGCCUGACCUUGGGAACUGUUCAAUGCUUUAUCAACGAGAGGAUUGUGUGUAUAGGUAGAGUUCUCAAAAGGUUGGGAAGGAAUCUGAGAUUUAGUGGUAGUAGAGGGGGUGGUUUCGAAAUUAUAGAAAAGUGAAGCCUUACCAGCAGGAGCAAAGCCAGUGAUGAAACACAUUACAAAACAUAGAGAGAAAUGGAUCACAGCUUUCUUCCAUACCUGAGUUUUCUUCUUUGAUCUCUCCAGAGAUCCCAUCAGGAUCCAACCCUAAGAAGAAGUUUUUCUUAAUUAAGUGAUUUUCCUUUUAUUUUUUGGGAAGAACAAUCUAGUUUGAAGAGUAUGAAAUAUAAGGGCUUUUAUGACAUUUGUAUAGUUUUUGUCUUUAUAUUGUUGGUAAAUGAUUAAAACCGGCGAGCUACGUAGGAGUACGUUCUCUUUGAUUGAUUGCGUGUGUUGGUUGUGUUCUGCAACAACUUGUUGGGAUCAUUGGAACUCACUAGCUAGCUGAAACAUGUUUGGGAAAUAUAAGAAAAUUACUGUUAAUAUAGCAAAUAUAUUAAAAUUAAACUUUGCUUAUUAAUGACUCUUAAUGCAAGUAAUUAAGUAUUAUUUUAGUUGUUGUUGAUGACUGAUGAGUAAGGUUAUGAUCAAGAUAGGAACUUUUGAGAGUACCUAAUAUAGAGGAUAGUAGUCUUCAAAAAGUGUGAAGUGAUGAAACUUGAAGUUGAAAGAGACAAUCCAAAAAAUAAAUAUUAACAUGUCAUCGUGGUUUAUAUUAUGCACUUUAACAAAUGGAUAUCAUUUUUACCGUUAUAUCAAGCCAUGUAAAUACAUACCACCACAAACAAGUCGUUUUCUCAAGAAAGUUAGAAAAGAGAUCAAGCUGGACGAGGAGUGAGCCUAUCUUUGGCCGCCGUGUCUCCACGGUGGAGGCCAGAGGAGAUACGCAAGCAAGAAGAAGCCCCCCGAGAAACGCUCUGUUACUAACUCGGUGUUCUUGGAGCAAGAACAAGAAGAGACAAAGGAACCUCAUGAUGAUGACGUCAUUGUCGGAGAACCCAAGGUUGUGCAUUUAAUAUUCAGUUCAUUUAAUACAUCAGUCAAGUCACAUUUCCAAGAAAAUACUCCACUAACGAAGGCGUCUUUGUCUAUUUUUAAUUCGUUCCUUAACGCGUACGGAACGCGGCCCAAUAAAAUAAUUACUUUAAUUCUAUUUUAAGUCUCUGCUUCUCUACCUUCUUUCCUCUUUGUAAGAUCAGAGAGAGAGCGUUUGUUGAGAAGAUCUUAUUAGAAGGUGAAUAUCAAUCAGAACAUGGCGAAAGAAGACAACCACGAAGCUCAACGAUGCGAGUGCGAGGAUCAUGAGGAAUCGAGUCCUCUCUUGCAAGUUAACGAAAGCAAGAUCUGCUCAAAAGGGGACACCACCAAGACGGCGGAGGAAUAUGGCUGGACGGCGGAUGGAUUGCCGGUGAGCCAAGGGAGCGUGAUCGGCGAGCCGAUCGGGAGAAACCAAUGGAGUUCCGGUCUUUUUUCCUGUCUCGGCCGAAACGACGAGUUCUGCAGCAGCGAUCUCGAAGUUUGUGAGUCUUUAUGUUCUGUCUCAAUGAUUAGUGUCUGAAAUUUGGGAUUUUUUUGUUAAUGGGUUUCUUGAUUUGGUGGAGGAUGAAUUGUAAAGUUUUGAUUUUGAUGUGUUUUUCACUGUUGGUGAGUCUUGCUUGUGUUCUGUCUGACUGUCUCAAUGGUUAUUGUCGGAAAUUUUGGUUUUUUUUUUAUUUGGUAGAGAUUGAAUUGGAAAGUUUUGAUUUUGAUGUGUUUCACGGUUGGUGAGUCUUGUGUUCUGUCUCAAAUGAUUAUUGUCGGAAAUUUGAGGUAUUCCCUAAUGGGUUUCUUGAUUUGGUGGAGAUUGUAUUAGAAAGUUUUGAUUUUGAUGUGGUUCAUGGUUGGUGAAAAGACUCAAAUCUUUUACAUCUUAAUGGCUUCUUCUUUGUUAGGUCUCCUUGGAAGUGUGGCUCCAUGUGUGCUGUAUGGAAGCAAUGCAGAGAGGCUUGGGUCUGCUCCUGGAACGUUUUCGAAUCACUGCUUGACGUAUUUGGGGUUGUACUUUGUCGGCAACUCUCUAUUUGGAUGGAACUGCCUUGCUCCAUGGUUCUCUUAUUCUAGCCGCUCUGCCAUUCGCCGAAGGUUUAACCUUGAGGUAAUGAUCAAAUUAUCUGGUAUUUAAUCCGGAAAAAAACUGAAAAAUCUGUUUUUAUAUCUGAAUUAUCUGAAAUUAUCUGAGAAAAAGGAACCGAACCGAAAUUUUGUAUUAGUCAGUUUUUAACAUUGUUGCCCGAACCAAAAACGGAAAUAACCAAAACCGAACCAAAUUUCAAAUAAUCAAACGGUUCCUAUAUCUCUAGAACCGAAAAUCGAAAAAAAAAAAGAACUGGAAGUGAACGCCAAGCCUAGUUGUACUCUAAGAAAAGAGUCAAUCAACUCCUCUCUUUAUAUAUCUUCUUGGUUGUGUACCACUCUCUGAGUUUUAUAGGAGCCAUGGAGAGACAAGUCUUGUCUCAUAGGCACUCUAGUGUCUCUAGUUUUGGGCAUGUGUAUUACGAGAGUCUCCGUUGCAUUCCAUCUCGUGACCCUAUCUUUUGUUUUCUUUUGGUGUAAAAAACAGGGAAGCUUUGAGGCGAUGAACAGGUCGUGUGGUUGCUGCGGUAGCUGCAUAGAGGAUGAGAUGCAAAGGGAACAUAUGGAGACGACUUGUGACUUUGUGACGCAUGUCCUUUGCCAUACAUGUGCACUUUGCCAAGAAGGCCGUGAGAUCCGCAGGAAGGUUCUUCACCCGGGUUUCAAUGCUCAGUCCACUGUGGUUGUGCUUCCACCAAGUGAACAAACCAUGGGACGUAAGUAAGUGAAAAGCUUGCGUUGAGUCAUGUGUCCUAAAUAACAUUUGUAAUACACAAGGUGAACUAUGACGUUGUCUCUUGCUUGCUUUUGUCGCGUGUUCUUUUCUUUUUUUUGGUCUUUCUUCAGUGCAUGCAAAUGUAUGUAUAUCUUUAUUGUUACGUACUUGGUUUUGGAUAUGGUCUUGUAAUAUUCAAUAAAGUUUCGCAACUUGUAACUCUAUAAACGUGGAGGCAUUCCUUUCCGGCGGAACCUUCAUUGCUCAUAGCUCCAAACCAAAGUCUGUGAGAUCAGAUGUGGUAAAGAACGGUUCGGAGAUUCUAAUGAAAUGAAAGAUCUGUUUUUGGACCGGAGAGAUCAAGACAAAAGUGAUUGAUUGCAUUUAAUUUAUAAGACUUUUUAUAUCGCAACUUUGCGAGUCUUUAAUUGUUGCACUAGAGAUCCAUUGUAAUCAUUGUGGUUAAUUUGACUCCUUGAGUUUAUUAGUGUGCAUGUGAUAUGAUUUCUUUAGAUUUGGUUUUAAUAUACAUUUUGUGAUAAAAGGGUCAAGAUCUAUAGCUUAAUACUAUAAUUAAUGUUAAUUAGUACAUUUGACAUUUUCUUAUAGAAAUGAUUAAAUAGGUCUAUUGAUUAGACGCCAAACAAGACUGGCCAAAUUAAUCGCUGAUAAUUCAAAAGAAACCAGACGAAUUAUCAAAAGAUCUUCUAAUAAUGAAAUGAUUUGUACAAAGAGUCAAAAGGAGACACAUGGAGAAGUGCCCAACUCGUCUGGCAUGGCACCUCACUACUAAGCAAUCACGAUUUGGCUUGUGGAGUCAACGAGCUUAUGACAUUAGCUAGUUAAUUUCCCCCAAGUUGACAUCUACUUUUUAAACACAAUUUAUUUAUUACUUAUUAUACAAUUGUAGAUCUCAUCAUAUAUUUUUGAUAUGCGAUUUCUAGUAGUUUAUUGUAGACGACUGUUCUUUGUUUUCUCUUACUCUCUAAUCUGAAUCUCAUUGCAUGGUCGGCAACAUUUUUUACUUGGAACAUUUUACCAUCAAUAAUCGAAUUUUGAUAUCAUGUUAAUAAGUUCUAAAAACUUUAAUGUAUAACUUAACUUAUGUCCCUUAUACAUUACCUGUUAUUCCAUCACAUUUUGAUUUUGAAUUUGUAAGAAGUUUAUAUUUGUGUAUCAUAUAAGUUUAUGGUCUUGAAUCUAAUAGUUUUUGGUACUGUUAGUUCUAAAAUCAUUGACGAAUAUACCAAAAAAUGUGACAAGAGAUAUAUAAAAGUCCCAUCAAAUAAAUUUGGAUUGGUAGUUGUUUCGAAGUCACUCCCUAAUGUACCAAGAACAUAUCUUAAUCCAUCCCAGUUUUUGUAUCUCUUCUUAUUGACUCCAAACCAUUAACACACACACACACAUACAUACAUAUGAUAUAUGAUAUAUAUGGUUAUUAUCUUUCAUAGCAAACAUAAUCAGUUAGUUCACAUAACGACAAUCCUUCCUAAUCUCUCCUUGGUCACCGGUGAGAGGAUUGGUCUCGGACAAGAGCCUGAUAGCGCGUGAAAAUUGCUCAUGGAAGUAACCAUUGUCCGCAGCCAUCUUCGCCACAAAGGGUGCGGUCCUCGGAUCCGUGGCUAUCUCAUCAUCGAUGACAAGGAGUCCUUUAUGAGCCAUGAUGUUUUUGUAAUACAUAUUGUCCACAACCAUCGGUGUCUCAGGGUCGUUGCGGGAGUAUAAGACCUCUUUUGGGUUCGGAUUUGGAGUAGGGCAACGUUUUUUCAAGUAAAGGGCGUACGUAGGGUCGAGAGUCGGGUCAAUCGUUGGGUAUAGCCGGUGCACUAGGUUAACGCAGUGGACUCUACCCACUGAGUGUGCACCUACGGUAAUAAAAAUUGACCGAUCAAUAACAAUGACAGUUAUAUAUCUUUAUUAUCUUAACUAGUAAAUAAACUUUCCAAAAAAAAAUAUCAUAUGUAUUAUUUAAGUAUAUGGUUGAUAAAACUAUUUUAUUUUGAUUUUAUCAGAAAAUGAACCAAAAAUACCCAAAUUAUCUUCUAUUGAACCACCGGACCGUAUAAAAUUUGGUUUAAUUAACGGUGUAAAACGCACAUCUAUCCUAAAAUCUUGAACAAAUUCAAAAACCAAAAUGUCCAUCCUGGUUAGUGUUACCGUGCUGGCUCAAAUCUAUUGACCUAUGCAUUUAAAAGAUAGUUUCUACUCAGAUUUAUAACUCAGGUACCUAAGAGAGCAACGGUGGCUUCAACAUCGAUGCCGAUGGAGUUAAAGUUUGAGAGAACAGACGAGAGAGAGUCAUUGUGGUUAGGAACUAGAGCCUCAACAUCUCUCAAGUAGCUCCCUCUACUGUCUCUCCUUCCUGUCUUUAUCAUAUCUAUCUUUGGCCCUUUCAACUAUUCAUUUCACCAACCAAAAAAAAAACAUCUUAAUAAAAAUAUAAUUCCAAACUAAUUAAAUUAACCUUACAAUGCAUAUACUUACCAUGACAAUACCAUCUCUAGCAGAGAGAGCAACAAUAUCAGCGCAAGAGACUGUUCCAGGACAUUCUUUCUCGAGUGCAUCUUUGAUAGUCUUGAUAUACUUAAAGUUUCUCAUACCAAAACUCCUUGUUGACUUUUGCUCUGAUUCCACACCUCUUGCUGUCUCUAGUAGCAGUGACGCAUCACACGACUACAAAAAAAAAUACCCAUGAACAUAAAUAUUCACGAUGACUUUUUGGUAAUCAUGUUUUUAAAAAUAUUCACGAUGAUGAUGAUGCCAUGUGAUUAUAGAGUAAAUGUAAUUACCUUGACGACGCAGUCAUGGAAGAGAUUACGGAGCCAAGAUACGGCUGUGUUGCCGUGUUUGUAGUACAGCGUCUCCACUUGUUGUCUGAUUAUCUCUUCCGCUCUCGGACAACUCUCUCUGUAAUAAUUCAUCUUCAGUUCCGCAUUUCCUACAGUUUAGUUAAUCUUUAGAUUCGAUUUAAAAAAAAGUUAAUCUUUAGAUUAUUCGCUUUAUUUACGUAUGAGUGAUUACUAGCCAUUUUAUAAUAUAAUAUUUGUUGAAUUUUUACGGUGGAAAUUAGUUUACUAAAAAAAACCGUAGUUAUUUUGGUUUCAGCUAGCAAAAAUUAGAAAUAUAUUCUCGAGACAUGGAUACACGUGGCAUAAUGUGAUAAGAGAAAAGGGAAUAUAAAUUACCGAUAUGAAAGAUGGAAAAUAACUGUAAUAACAGGCAAAAGAAAGCCAAAAAGCAGAAGGGCAUCUUCACAAUGGCCAUCUUUUUCUCUCCUAUCUUUUUGUACUUUGUUGAUUGGUGUGUCUCUUUAUGUGUCCAAUGUAGGGUUAUAUAGAGAUUCAAGAGACUUGAGAAACUCUCUUUAAUCGUGUAAUAUAUAAUUAAGUAUUUUUAUUUCUUAUAGUCAUAGUGGUUGCCCAUGUUAAUUAUUCUUUUUUGAAAUUAUCAGGGGAUUUCUUAUUCUAGACGAAUAUUAAUAUUGAAGCUUGUAACCACUAGCUAUAUAUCUGAACUCAAUAGUUGUUGAACAUGUGAAUUCAGUGAGACGAGUUUUCCUAUUCUAUCCGAUGAUAAUACAAAAUUAAAUUAGUUCGGCUUUUCACUUCUUUUCACUUUUAAUUAGCCUUCCUCAUACAUGUUUCAUGUUCACAAGAUACAAAAGGAGGAGAUCUGUAAUAUAAAUUACGCUCUAACUUGUAACUAAUUGAUUGGAUUGGAUUCGAAUAAAUAAAAUCAAAAUGUAAAUGCUUGCGAUGAAUAUGUAUAUUACACAUCAACUUCAAGAUGACCGACUCAAUUAACUCCCAAUCAUGCUAAUCUAUAGGUAUUCAAUAUAUAGCAUACAAUAUUAAAUACGGUUUCACUUAUAUGAGUUCAUUCACUAAUAUAUGAGUAAAUUAUUAUUACCCGACUGCUGCAUAAAUUUUAUACCACCGAUUUAGUUUAUAGAUUCUAACAGACUUACUGACAUGUUAUAUUAUUCCAUUUGAAAUAUCGUUACCAGUCUGGAUUCUUUGGCUGACUUAAAAAAAAUAUUUUGCUUCAAUUGUGUAACAAAUGUAGAAGGAUAUUAUAGACUAGUCAUAAAUAUGUAUAUAUGCAUGGCCCAUUGUUAUACAUUUUGGGAAAAUUAUUGAAUAUAUAUUAUAUAAAAUCAUCUGAUGGUAGCCACAAUUUUUUUGUUUAAAUUAUCUGUAACAUGAUUACCGUCUAUAGCGGGUUUGCGUCAUUUCGGACAUGCGCUUGAUGCAAAAUCAAUACGACUGUGGAUGUUAAAAUGGAUAUAUUGACUUCACUAAAUGUUAAUAUCAUCAUCAGCCACUUUAUCCUUCGGCCACUUAGUCACUUGUGAUAUUUUUAACACAACACAUUGGGUGAAUUCGUAUUAUACGCAUUUAAUGUGGCACCAAGAGUUAAUUCAGACCCAUUCAUAGCUAAGCAGUUUAUAAUAGGUUGCCGCUAUUUCAACGUAUCAUUCAUCAAAAUUUGAUGUAUCUAUUUUAGUAGAAAACGAAAGAUGUUUCAUUUUAUUUGGUGUAAUAAAUCUUUAAUGCUCUUGAAUACUGCUUAAUACCGUCAGAACUCAGAACAUUAACUUUAGUUUUAAAUUAUAAUGCAAUUACUAAAACACUGCAAAUUUAUUUCAUUAUACAAUAUACAAAAAAUGAUCAUGUAUACUCUCUCUCUUUUCACAAUGAUAAAUUCCCAUUUUUGUUUUUAAAGAAUUUUAAGGUUUUAAUACAUAUUCCCUCAGUUUCGUAAAGAAUACCACUUUGACAUUUUCACACAAAUUAAAAAAAUGAUUAAAAUACAUUAAAGUUCUUAUUAGUUACACUUAAUAUGAAACAGAAAGAGUAUUUAUUAGUACUUGUUACAAAUUGCAUAUAUCAAAAUAUUUAUUAAUAAUAAAUACAUUUUUAUUUUUAUUAGUUUAAAUUUAUGUAAAAUUGUAAAAAAUUUAUAAUUGAUCACUAAACAUUAAUUAAUAUGUGUAAGAAAUGAAAAUUUAAAAAAAAUGUGAAACAGAAAGACUAUCACAUAAUUUAAUAAAUGUAAAAACUACAAGAAUUUAAGUUAAUAAUAUAUUUACGUCAAUAAUACUUAUGUUUCGGGUUGAUAUCUUAAUUCGUUUUGUAAUAAUAGCACUUUUAAAUCAAUUUGGUUAUAGAUUUUAAAAUAAAUUAUACUCAUACUUGGAAGCAAAUUAAAAAAAGGUUAUAAGAUUGCUUGGUGUAUGAAUAAUUGAAAACCAUUUUUUGUUUUUGACAACAAUUGAAAGCCAUUAAGUUUGACCUUUUUAGGCACUUGCUUAAUCGCACGCGCAUUUGAAAACCACCAAAUAAAAUCAACCCCACUUUCUUAAUAUUAUUGUGACUGAUGACGGCUGUAACAUUCUGGUCUUGACCGUCCAGUCCAUUCACUUGAACACGCACAUAAUGCUUUGUUGCCGAUUCACUUAUUUUCAUUAAAACUCAUCAUAUAAAUGAUUUCCCCUCCUUUUUCCUUUACAUCUAAAAGUCUAUGUAGUUUUUCUAGAUGCUUAUGAGUUACGCAAAACGAUCCUCUCCCACACAAAAAAACAAUAAUAUUAAUAUAUGUUUUAAUGUCCAAGUGUUUGAUUAGUGCUGCAGUUUGUAAAUAUGUAAUAAAACUAAUCAGCUUAAUUUUCUGUUUAAACAAGAAGUUUUGUAUAGAAAGACGACUUGGAUUAUAUUUUUGUAAGAAUUCUGAAUUCCUGUCGUUUCAUUCCAUAACAAUAUGUGUUAAUAUGUUCGUGUAUUAUUGACUUGUUGCUUUAUAGUUAUUUAUUUAUUCCCAAGUCAGAUUAUAUUCGUUCGGAAAAUGAACGUGACUCGUAUAUGAGUUGACCUUAUGAAUAUUGUCUAAGGCCUUAUCCAUUAGAUUAAAAGUUCAUUAUACACUUAUUAUUUGUAUUUAGUUUGAUUAUCUCCAAGGCUACAUUAUGAGCUGUUAGCUAGUAUCCUAAGUUAUGAAUAGCUCCAGAAAGGCCUUAUCCUAAGCUAUAUGAACAUUGUGAGCUAAGCUGAACACUUGCUUAGAUGUAACUUGAUCUUGUAUGUUUUCUCUAAAAGACCAAUAGCCAUCUUGUAUGCUUAGUUGAAUUUGUAUUAGGAUCUCUUAGUUGUAAGAGAUCAUAUGUUCAUCAAAUGGUUCUAUCACUACCAUAAGUUCUCUGUAAGGCCUUGUUGUUCUUCUCGCUCUGCUUUCUGCAGCCUGGUUAGUUUCCACAGGAGGCUUAUGUUCUUUGAUAGCAAAGUGAAAACCGUCCAUCUCUUCAUAGUCAUUUGGUAUAUUUGAACUUGUGAGCCAGUAGGCACAUGAGCUUCUCAGCAAGAAGAAGCAUUCUCUUUUCUUUUUUUUUCUCUACUCACCAAUAACAGAUAUUAACUUCCUUCUAUUUACAACUUAAAAUGUUAUAGUCUAUCACAUAUUUUCCCUUUAAACAAAAGAGAGAGGAAUUAUAUAUGUAUAGUUUAUCUAUCAUAUGGGUUCUUAAAAGCAUCAGGUAAAAGCAGGUGAUUUGCAGAUAGGGCAAGAGUUCUUCAAAGACAGCCAUUUCUUUAUGCACCCUCCAUGGUAGUCAUGACCACACCCUUUAAGUUCCCCCAACUCUUCUCCUUCCUUGUAUUCCUCCUAAAUGUUACCGUUACCACACCACCAUUAGACUCUUGGCACAUUUAAAUCUUUGAGACAUGCGAAUCUUACCAGGCAGAUUGCACAUUUUCUUUCCUCAUCCGUUUGAUACAAUGGGUAGAAUAUCGUCUCCAACAAGCAAGUGGAGAUUGCGCCCUUGGAUAGACCAGUGUUAACACUCCCAAUCCUUUCAACAAGAUCAAGAAGGUCCUGGAUAGUGUCAACCAUUUCAAGAUACAUCAGUUGCGAGACAUUUUGUCUGGGGCUUAGAAAAACCAAGAGUUCUGUAAUUAACCUCGUAGGUCAUGUCAUCGAUGUCGAGCCUCAAUUCUCUGUGGUGAUCAUGCAUAUUCCUGGAUCCAUAGUGCUGUUGGUGAUCUACAGCCAUAAAUCCCUGUUUUUGUACAUCCACAACAAAAUAAUAGAAGAAAGUUCAGUCUGCAGCAGAAUAAGAAACAUGAGAGUCUAUGUAGGCAAGUUUCUGAAGUGUUGGUCCCAUCAGUUUAUUGGCAAGUUUGGUAGGGAAAAAAAUUACUACACCUGAGAUGAAAAUGGUUCAUGGAGAGCAACUUCAUCGAAAGGAGGCUGAAACCUCUCAUAGGAACUCCUGCGUCUCCCUGGGCGAUCACUGCUACGCCAUGAGAUGUGUGGUGGUGGCCUCAGAUGCCUAGAAGGAUAUGUCUCAGUGACAAAAGGAGACCUAUCUCCAGAAGAAGAUGCUGAAUGUUCCAAUCGCAAACCGUUUGAAGAAGAUCUAUAGGUGGGUGUUGACCUAUGAGAGAAGCGGGAGCUAGUUGCAGAUUGUGUUGAAGUUCCAGGAAAACCGUGGGAAACUGUAGAGUUUCUGUUUCCGAUUAGCCCUUGGUGAUACCAAGAGGUAUCAACAGAUGUGCUGUUGGCGACACUUCUCGUGGGAAGAAAAUUAUUUGUCUUUGGACUAAAGCCAUUUAAAUCUGCAGGGUGAGAAUUCAUGUGGUUAAAGAACGUAGUCAGUAAAAAUUUGAAUCUCAAGAGAGACCAAAGUGAAAUUUGCAUACCUCUAGGUACUGGGGAGUGUCUAGGAAAGUUCCAGUUCCAGUCCUUAUUCCUGUGAGAUGUUUGACCAGGAAACUGACCUGAGCUAGAGUGAUCAACAUUGUGAUGUGUAGGAUGAGAAUCAAGGUCCAAGCUUCUUGAAAAAAUAUUUCUAUCUACACUAGUCUCUAAAUCAAGUGUAGGACGACUCCGGACAUUCCUUGAAGAACUCUCUCCCCUGAUCGAGAGAUUAUUACUUCUGUAACUUGGGUUCAUGAGCCACGGCAUGUAAUGAGGACCAUGAUCACGAGUUGUUGAUUUUCCCAUGUCCAACUCCGAGGAGAAAGGGAUAUCUGAGGAAGUUCUGCCACCGUGGUAAUGGCUUGAACUACCCAUUUCAUAGACGGAAGAAUCGCAUGGGGUUUUCCGCUUCUGUGCUCCUCUCACAUUUUCCAUAUGUAGAUCAACAUAGCCAUCCAAUGACCAUGUCUGACUGUUGCAGUACGAAGAAGAUGCAGAUGUCACAUAAUGUUCAAGUGGAGCAGAGAAAGUUGCAGCUGCUGAACUCAUGACAGGAACAUGGGUGGGGCCGCUAGUCCCUGGAUUGUAGUGUAGCCUCUCUACACCAUGACCUGAAGCAGUAUACGCAUUUGGUCCUGUAGAAGAGUUCCAGUGCGAAGAAAAUGGCAUUCCUUCAUUCAACACGUUUCCUGCUGGAUUAACAUGCGAUCUGCUCUCACUGGUCCCAGUUCUUGCUGAGAUAACAUAGAGCGAACAAUAAUACGAAUCAGAAAUUCCGGACACGAUUGCACAGGAAAAAGUAGAAUUAUGUAUGUGAUGAUUAUAAAAUGUGGCUUCCUAAUUUUCACUACCUGAGGGUAUCACCUAUCAAGAUUCAUUUUUGCCCCUACUGAAACCCAAUCUACCCAUGAGGGAGAAACUUCUCAACCUAAAAAUACGCAUGCAACAUCAACGCAAUAGCUCUUACACAGGUUGAGUAUAACAUCUAUCCAUGAAGAACGUGUUAAAAAUAUUGAUUUCAACCACAGAAUAAGGAUCUCUAUAGGAAUGGAGAACUAAUUACCUAAACUCGUAUAUGGGUGCUCUGGGUGUAUAUGGUUCCAGCCUUGAUCCUGUUCAUCAUCGAAAAAUUGGAAAGAGCCAGGAAAAUGUCUGUGCCCCAUGAUUACACAAAUCUUCAACCUUGGAGUCCAGCUAACCCUGCACAGAAAGUUCUCUCAACAUUCAGAACUCAUCCAGAAAAAAAUUUGCAAGUCCAUAAAAAUAGUUCUUAAUUACUAAGCAAUCUCAGUUUCAAUUCAAGAAUGGUAUAUAAAGUAACAUCUGCUUUAGCUCAGAAGUACCAAAUGGUUGCUGAAAACGAGUCACCCAUCUAUUUUCAGUUUUAUAGUCACAUUUCAAGACCAAAACUCCAAUUUUUGCAACUGAAGAACCUUAACCAUCGCCAAGUUAAGAAACAAAGUUUCUUCAACCCCACACAUGAGCAUACUCAAGCUGUAAGAAACGAUUUAGAAUAUGCAUAGAGAACACUACACAGUAUUAGGACGGACAUCAACUUCAGGUAUAAAGGAAACUGACAAUGGUAUAUUGAUAGAGAUUCUUUAUCAGAAGAGAGUCCAUAGUUUCAAUACCUAGUAUCAAUAUAGUUGAAAUAUCUAGUCUCAGUUACCUUUGUCACCCGUAUCUAACAUACUAUACCCUCAGAGCUCAGCUCAUGAUAUCAUAAAAACAAGUUUUCGAAGAGUUGGACUGGAAAGUUCCUGAUGCCUUAAGAUGGGAAUAACCUUAACUAGUACAUAUCUAUCAGCUCAUAAGGGUAUCUUGCAAUCAAGAGUUAAUAAAUAAAACAGAAACCUACAUUUUCUCUUUGUGUAAGCCAAAAGAAAAUAAGAGACACAAAACAAGCAAGAGUGUUCUCUAGUACAUUGGCAUAAGAAGUUCAUUUAAACAAGACAUUUACUCAGGUUUAAGAACUUCAUAAAUUUUACAGAAACAGUCCACCGAGAAUAAGGCAAGAAAGAACAGAUACAGAACAGAUAACAUUUGAUAUGACCAUUUCAGCUUCUAUCAACACAUACAGAACAGAUGCAUACUGCUGGCAUGAUCAAGAAAAUUACAUGGAUGAUUCAACAGCAGGAAAUAAGUUUAAUUUUCUGAGCCAAAACCCUCCAACAAUACUACUGCAGGCAAAUUAAACUCCCAACCAAGAAUACACUAAACUACACAAGUGAAAAAGCCAUCAUCCUUUCCUGAUCAACUGAUUCACCAUUUCCACACACCAAAUGUAAUUUCUUCUCUUCAAGUUCAGAAUCAUAACGGGCUUAGUCCACAGAGUGCUGGCCAGCAAAGGCUUACCACCACAUUCUACUAUUCUGAAGCUUUUACUUAGUCAAAACCUGCCAUCCGGCCCAGCACACCUAGAUCUACUCCAAGAGCUAGUAAGCAGAAAUGGGUUGUGUGAAAGGAUGCUUCUAAGCAAUUUGCUUUAUGCUUCAUAGGAUGGUUGUCAUUUCGCAAGAAAUAUUGAAGUUUUUACCUUAAUUCACACUUCAAGCAUCACUGACUAAUUAACACAUUCAGUUAUGAACGUGGAAUCAAAAGAAGGGUGGUGGAAGAACUGGACCAGACAAACUUCACAAAGCCUUGACUACCAUAAACAUAGUUAUCAGCCAUAAAACGUAAAUGAGUAAAAAACUAACCACGCUAAUAGAGUUUGGUUGACUUAUCUUACUUCAAGUUCACGUUGGUUUCUCAAUCAACCAACAAUCUGCCAAAAUAGAAGGAAAACGGCAGCCACCGAUUCUAUGUAUUACAAAGGCUUAGCAUAAGGCACUAACAUCUGCUGACAAAAGUGUUAGAAUAAUACAUUUUCUCUGCUACAAUUUCAAAUUUUCUAUUAUAUUUUUGAGAAAAAAACCAAAAUAGCACUAAAUCAAGUUUUUGUUCCCAAACUAGCACUCAAGGCCAAAAGUCACAAAAAUAGCACUCAAGAGAUGGGGUUUAGGGUUUAGGGUUUAAAGUUUAAGUUUUAGGGUUUAGAGUUGAGAAGUGAGAUUUUGGAGAUAAGAUUUCAAAUUUUGAAAAAUAAAAAAGUUUAAAUUUUUCAAAAGAUAAAAUGCUAUUUUGGUCAUUUAGUUUUUGAGUGCUAUUUUUGUGAUAUAAACUUAGAAAAGUACUAUUUUGGAGAUUUGCCUUAUAUUUUUUCGAUUUUUUUUUUUUUGAUUAUACAAAGUUUCCCUAAAGGCUUCCUAAGGGACUAAUCUGUGUAGCUGCAACCCGAAUGUGAAAUCCGCAGUGGCCGGGAAUCGAACCCAGGUGGCGGUACUCACAGCUGUGAGCCUCUGUGAGCUAAACGCCCCGGUUUAUUUUUUCGAUAUUACUAAAGAGGAAGACGUAUUUGCUGACCUUAAACUAUAUGGACGUUACUAGUUCAAGACUGAGAGAAACCAUCGUUGCCACUAAACCUGCUGGAUACAAAGCCUAGCUAGUUUGAUGCUAAAUAGGAAACUGCUCAAACUAGCUCUAUAUAGCUUAGCCCCGUCGCUGAAGUAGCCUGAACUAAUCACCGAUCUGGUCUCCUCUUCUUCUCAGCAUCCGAAUCUCUAACUACGAUUCAAACAAUCCAAUCACGAAAAGUCACUCAUGUAGCAGACGGAAGCAAACAAUCAUCACGCAAAAGGAAAACAGAUGAUCCGUCGUAACAGCGUUUAAACAAAUCAUUGGUGAAACUGCAAUCGAUUUGAGCAUAUAUAUACAUAUUUACACGAAAACCUCAGAGCUCAAACGAUGAUCGGAGAAGAGAGAAACGUACCGCUAGCAGCGUGCGGAUGAUGGAGAAAGGAGAACGAUCGGAGGAUUCAAAGAGACGACGAACGGAUUCGUAGAGAUGACUCAGCUUGAGGAUUGUGAUCGGUUGAUAUAUUUAAGAGAGAAAGCAAAUGAAAAAAUGAUAAAACAAAACAAUUUAAUUUAAAAGCGAUUGGGUGGGUACGUUGCUGGAAAAUUUAGACCACCACAGCAUCACCGGCUGAUUAAUGGGCGUAGAUUAAUGGGCCUAUAUUUUGACUUUAUAUGGGCCUCCACUGGAUCAGCAACUAUCCCUUCUUCUUUUUUUGUCACCAGCAACUAUAGCAUUGUUCACAUAGUGCAUUAUGUUGCAUCUGACAGAUUAUGAGCAUAUAAUCCUUGAAUCUGCUUUGUAGAAAGCUCUUAGAAAUUUAAUUUUUCCAUUGUCUUUGCACGUGCUGUGAAAUUUUGUGUUAAUUACGCAUAAAGUUUGAUUCGUUAGAUUUAGUCCAAAGUAAACAAUAUGGAUACAUAGUCCACAAUCCCCCUAAAAUGGUUAUUUCUCAGAUUUUGACAGUCUUAAUUUGAAGACAAUUUGGAAGAUGAAGUUGCAGUGAAACACGCAAGCAUUGCAUUGCUUUUUUCUCUUUCUAAAACCAAUGGAAGUACAAGGAAGUGGAGGUGAAUCAAUAACAAUAAACCGUGUGCAUUGCCGAGAUUAUAUAGUUUGUGAUUAUACCAUUUUAAUACAGAGAAGCUGCAAAUACCAAAUUAAACCAACGCAGGUUUGAGGUUCCUACGUCAAGUUCAACCAUUUCAUUUCUAGUGUAAUUUCUCUAUUCAAAACAACUAUAGAAAGGUCCACUAGACAUGGCAGACGAAACAAUACCCCAAUAACAUUGUGGCAUUACGAAAGUAGCAAAGCAAAGCAUAAGAUAAAAUAAAAGCGGCAUUAUAACAAACCAAAACAGACUUGUUCUUGUUCUUAACCGAAACAUAAAAGCUAAAACCUCAAAAGUGAAAAUAACCGAACAAAACACUUAAUCUCAAAUUCCCUUUUUUUUUUAAAUUAAUUAAUUCUCAGGAAUCUCAACCUCACCCUCUUGAAUCUCCUGCUGGAUAUCCUUGGAAUCUCCUGCUGAAUAUCCUUGGGAUCUUUCCCAUCCACAGUACACCCAACAGACACACACGUCCCAAGAAUCUCCCUCACGGUCCCGCUCAGCUCCUUCGCAAUAGACCUCGGCCUCAUGAUCCUCGCGAUCUCAAUCACGUCAUCGAACGAAAUGUUCCCGUUGUGCUUAAUGUUCUUCACCUUCUUCCUGUCCCUCUCCGGCUCCUUCAAGGCCUUGAUCACCAGCGCCGCCGCCGAAGGCACCACCGUCACUUUCGCCUGGCGAUUCUGCACCGUCAGCUUCACCGUGACGCGGAGCCCCUUCCACUCCUUGGCCGUCUCCUUGGCGAUGUCUUCUCCGAUCUUUUUGGGAGCCAGACCGAGGGGACCGAUCUUGGGAGCGAGGGAACUCGCGGCUCCGACUUCUCCGCCGGUCACGCGGACGUAGACGUCCACGAUCUGGCUCGGGUCAAGCUUCGGCGGCAUGGCUGUCUCGGUGGUUAAACGGAGUUUGAUUAGUUUUUUUUUUAAGUGGAGUCCGGAGACGAGGAGGCGGUUGAAGACGAGCUCCAAAGGCUUUUAUUGAGGUCGACACUAGGGUUUACGAAAUGAUGAAUUUACUACCCUUGUAAACAUAUAUGGGCCUUAAGAGAAUGAUCUUAUGGGCUUUAUUUUAGACUAUCGGUUCUUUUACGGUUUAGUAAAUAAUAAAUCCCCGGUUUGAUAGAACCGGUUUACUUCCGUCGCCUCUUUGCUCGGUGAGAAUUGCCUAAAAUAUUUCCUCAGUUUCGGAAAGAAGUAUAUUUUAGUUACCAAUAUAAUUUUAAUAAAUAAAAUUAUGUUUUUUUACUGUUUACGAUUAAUUUAUGCAUUGAAACCGUAAAAAUGUAUUUUUCUUGAAACGGAAUUUUUUUCUAAAAUAUGGAAUUUUUUGAAACGCAUGGCUUUUAUUAUACUAAAAUAGUGAAAGUGACGUCACUUCGUUUAACCGAUAUGAUCAACAACAGAAGCAUAUAGUUUUGACAAUAUACUGGGAAACAUUUACUUUUUGGAACUUUCUGUUAUCUUAUGUGUGUUAUUUAAUUAGUGGGUGGCUAAGGACCAGAAGUUGAGAAAGAAGGAAGGGAACACAGCAAGCCAGCUGAUGAAUGCCAUUGCUGUGGCGGUCUGGAACCUUGUGCAGUGGCUGCCAUCACAUUUAUCAAGAUCGUUGAUGAGUACGGUUAUGCCAGCAGACGCAGAUGCAGCUGCAAACGUAAGUAGGCAUGUGAUCUGCAAGGGAUGAAAAUAGACAAAACAGUCACUUUGUUGCCUUCUUAGAAACUAACUUUAAACAAUAAAGAGAGAUGUUGAUUUCGUUCUUACUCCAUCUCCAACUGUGAAACAUCGAACAACCAAGUGAUUCCGAAGGCUUCUUCCCACCAGAAGAGCAUAAGCAUCGAUGAUAAAAAGAGACAAGCUCCACAGGCUUUGCAAGCUAACCGCAAAAACCAAACCACUGUCACAGUUUAUAGAUAUGUUUUGUCAGAUUCAUAUUUUUCCGUAAACCUUAGGUCUAAGAGUUGGAUUUUACUAGAAUGCGGUGAAGGAGUGGAAGUCGGGGGUGGUGAGCAUGACGGAGAGGGAGAUGAGAGAGGAGACGAACUGAGAGAGGCGGAGGAUGAGGCCGCCGGUGGUUCCUGGCAUGCCCUGAAUAUCUUUCAUCCUCACUGGCGGUCUAUCGUUGGCUCCGCCAGUAGGACCCACGGGGACAGCAAUUACCGGACGAACCGCCGGUCGGCUCACGUUCAUCAUGUGAAAGUGAGUCACUCUGAUAACACACACACAAAUGAGGAACUAACUCGACUGAGUUUGCUAAACUAAUUUCCUAAAGACAAAGACUUAUUCAACUAACUGAAUCUCUAACACAUGUAGGACUUUCGAACGUUUACCGCAAAAGUUCAAACAGACCCACCUUGUAAGACACGAAACUGCUACUUUGGCUGUCUGAAAAAUGGAAUUAGUGUGGAUUUUUUUUUUGGUCCACGAGUUAAUUAGUUAAUGUGAUGUGUUUUGACAGAAUCGACCCAAAACAUAGUAUUUAAUGUUCCUAACUUUUGAUAUCUAUUGACUUAGAGUAACCGACUUUGAAAGUUAGUAUAAAACAACUGUAGAAACUUUUAAUGUGGCUUACUAGAUUUUUGGUGCUAUUCUAAAGUAUUUAUGUUUUUAUAUUAUUUAUUUCAAAUAUGUUAGACAUAAUAUUAUAACUUAUUAGUACUAUUUUCGACAGUUUAUGUUAUUACUUUUGAAACAGAUUAUAUUUAAAUUAGUAGUAUAUAUUAAGCUAGAAAAACACUCGAAAUUUAUUUGAACACUUAAAAUAAAACUAUAUUUUUUGUUUCUUAUUCUUUUCCUGUGUUUAUUUGUGUUGUAGUAUUGAUAAUUGACUAAAUAAAUACAAACAAGAAAAUGUGAAACUUUUGUUGGUUACAGAACAGAGUUGAUGAUCUUACAGAGAAUUAAAGACAUUUAGUUUGGGGUUAAAAAGACAGUUCUAAUCAUUUACAACAAAGAACUUCCACCGAACUGGAAAUUGUUUUUACUUUACCCCAACUAAUCGGGAUCUAUUCCUUCCAUUUUUAGUAAGAUUAAUAAAAUCGUGAAAAUCUGACAUUUUCAUAUCUAUAUAUAAAAUCUUUAAAUAGUUAUCUAGAUAUAUUUAAAGUUAUCUAGAUUUUUUUUUUUUGAAAAAGUUAUCUAGAUAUAUUAGAUCUUGAUAAUAAUCAUUCUCCAGCCCUUUCCAUCUCCCAGCAGAGCUUAGACGCAACACUUUCAUGGGAAGGUGCAUAUUCCUGCAAAAUGACAACAACAACGUUUGAGAUUAUGUAGAGACCCAGAAACAAUUCAUUUUCUUCAAUUUACCUCAAGCUUCUUCACAAGCUCUUUAGCAGUAGGUUCAGAGACUAUGAUCUCACGAGCAGUCGGGCUGAUGAAUCCUUCUUCAACGGCUUUAUCGAUGAAUGAAAGCAGCGAGUUGUAGUAUCCAUCAACGUUGAGUAAACCCACCUGCAGAAAGUUUGUUUUAGUGAUUUUGGAUUCUUGAAUUUUUCCAUUUGAAGUAAGAAUAUUAGGGAGGUUUUUUUUUACAGGCUUGUCAUGAAUUCCAAGCUGAGCCCAAGUUAUGACCUCAAGCAAUUCUUCAAGUGUUCCAUAGCCUCCUACAAUUAUCGCACAAAAUUUUAGAUUUGAUUUGUCAAAAGAGAGCAGGUUAAUCUGUUACUAUGAUAUGGUCAAAUCAGUAGGUGUGUCAUGUACAAUACAAAACCAAAUAAUAGAGUCCUCUCCUCUCUGUUACUGUUUUGUACAUUGGUACUGACUAUGAUUACAAAAGCAGGAUCUUGACUUUCCAUUAAUGAUUUCAGAUUAAGUGUGGGCCAAAAAAUGCCAUUUGUGGGACUGUUUCAAGUUUUGUCUCUUAACUUGAAAAGGGCAAAGAAAAAAAGUUUGGUCAGAGUAAGACUACACAAGCUAUAGAGAGAGUACCCCCUAAGUUAAAAACAAAGCAGAGCAAUAACCAGAGUAAAAGAAAAGGAAAAAGGUAUAAUUCUAAGUGCCAGAUGUUGAUGGUUAAGGCCUUUUAUCUUACACUCUGGUGACUUUAAAUAUUUAGAUUUUUUUCAUUUCAAAGAAUAAUUAAAAAUAAAAAACUUUUCACAGCAGCUUUCACACUGCAGCUUGACCAAAACAUAAUGUUUUUUUUUGUGUAACUAAGAAAUCAUGUUUUUACCAAACUCUUUUCUUCUCUUUUUUUACAAAAUCAGUCCAGAAAAACAAACUUUUUCCUUUACAUGAACAAACCCUACUUUGAAACUUUGAUUACCCAUUCAAAUUGUUUUAAGAGGCUAUUCUUAAAAUUCUUUGCGUCACUAGGGUUUUGACAAGUUUUCGUAUGUUAUCAUUACUUACAUUGAAAGAACAGCAAAAUUUUGAGGUUUAGAAAUGUUUUUUGAGAAAGAAAACAUUUGAUUGAAAAUUUGGGUGGAUUGGGUUUAAAACAAAACCUGGUAAGGCAAUAAAAGCAUCAGAGUGCUUGGCCAUUUCAGCUUUCCUUUGGUGCAUAUCUGCAACUGCUCUUACUUCUCCUACUGUUUCACCAGUCAACUGCAAAAAACAAUGAUCAUCCACCAUUUUAAAAUAAAUAAAAGGAUGUUAAUUAAAAGUAGUUAAAGGGCAAAAGCAACUUUGGGCUCUUCUACAGGCAAACGCAAUGAUGUCACCGCAAGUAGUCGUAAUGUUUGGAUGUUUUUGAAAUCUCCUACAGAACCCUAACAUCUAGUUAACCUCUUUCUAAUCAUUUUCUUCAUAUAUCUUUUAUUCAGAUUACGGUAACCAAAUGAGGAUAUUUAUAUUUUAGGACACCUAAACUACUCGCAAUCAUGAGAUUUAAGAAAAGGUAACAAACAGGGAGAAGAGUAAAACCUAAGCAAACACCGAAGAUUAAAAUGGUUUUGAAUGGGAAUUUGGAGAACUUAAAAGAGAAAUUAAAUUAACAAAGAACAAUGUUUUAUUUUGAAAUUUUCUUCUUUGAAAAGUUCAUACCUCUCUAGGCAUGAGGGUCUUUGGAAUUAUUCUGCAGAGUGACAACAAAAGGACAAAGUUGGGUUUUAUUAGAAAUAUUCAGCAAUAUAAUCCAACACUUGUGUUCCAUCAGAAUCUCAAAAGACAGUUUUCUUUUGUAUGAUCUGAAGCUUACAAAGUUGUCAAAUAGUUUAAAGUUAUUUGACUAAGAAAAAGUUACCCAAUAACAUGACGACCACCAUUAUGAACAGCUUGUGAAACCAAACCCAUCAAGCCUAUGCUCCCACCUCCAUAGACUAGAUCAAUUUUCCUUGAGACCUGCAGAACAAAAAAAAAAACAGAGUUACACUUUUUUUUUUUUUUUUGUCACAAAAACAGAGUUACACAUUAGCCUAAACUUGAUGAUAAGUAGAGCAAAAAUCGUGUAACAAACCAGAACCAGAAUAUUCUGAAGUUAUACCAUCUGGCACGUUUCAAAGAAGAAAUAAAUGAAGCAAAGAUGCACAUCAUCUUAUCUCAAAACCAACCAGCAUAAUCAAAGACAUAAAUACGUUAAAAGUCAUGUAUGUGUUACCAGUUCGUUGCCGAGAUCUACAGCAGCAUCUUGGUAACUACUCUUCUUGCCUUGGCUGCUUCCACAGAAGACACAUAUUCUUUUGAACUUUGACUUUUGCAUCGUUUCAGCUUUGAUCUCCAUUGAAUAUGAUCCUAAACUUAUGAUAAAAUAUAAAACUUCUCCAGAAAGAGAAAAGGUAAACAAUUUUAAGGUUUCUUUCAGCACAAGAAUCUAAUUUCGCAAGACAGUUAUGAGUGACAAAGAAACCUAACUAAAUCUGAAAAAAUAAUUUAUUUUGGGAGUUGUUUUUAUCCUCACCACUAAUGUUUCCUGGCUCAAGGGUUGUUGUUAUAUAUAUAGUGCGUCAUCGAUUUAAGCUUACUUAUUUUAAAUUACAUUCUUUUUGAUGUUUACUAAAGCUAGCAGCCUAGCACAACAUUUAAUAAUACAAAUUUAGAAAAAAAAAUAGAAGGCUUUCGUUAAAAAGUUUAUUUUUUUGUUUGUUUGAAUACUUCAUUUCUGUUUUAUUCCCCAUAAAAAAAAUAUUUUUGACCAAAAUCUUAUAAAUCGUUGAUUUGAAUAUUUAAUAAAAAUCGAUAUUUUUUAGAUUUAUGUUGAGGUCUUUACACGGGAGAAAUUAAAGCACGCGUCUUUCACUACCCGCGCGGCACGCGUGACCGAAUUCUUCUUUGUGUUAAUUUUCCCUUACUAUAAAAUCACGUACAACAAUGAUAGACUAGUACCAUAAACCUUAUUUAUGGUCGUAAAUAACAAUUUUUUUUGUUACUUGAGAGGAAUUUGGAUCAAACCGUAAUCUCCGCUUAAACCUGAAACCAUGUGUCCAUGCAUUGAUAAUAGUUUAUGACAUGGCGUAGAACAUUUCUUUCCAUAUAAAUGACAAUUCUUCGUAAUGGACUUUAUGGUUAGACUCACAAUCACCCAACUAGAUAGAAAUGCCAUGUUAAUGCAGGCUAUAUCUCACAAGGAAUUAUUAUCAGUUGUGUUCUUUGUUGUUAAAGAUCAUAUAUAUCGUGUUUAGACUUCAUAACCCCCUCUUAUGAUUUCGUAAAGAAAGCUCUCAGUGAUUAAAAAAAAACUGAUUCAGUAAAGCUUCGUCAUUUUUCGUUCUUAAUCAAGAAUAGGAAAAAUAAUUAAUUUUCUAUAUAAAAAUAAGAAAAAUGGACAGCAUAUGUGGACAGUGUAAGAUGGGUACAAACGUUAUUAACUGAUACUCUUGAAAAACAAAUAGAGAAAGGGAAAAUAAAUAACCAAAAAUAACCAAGACAAAGGCCACACUAAUAUUCUAAUGGAACCAUGUAGAUGUCAUGGAUAAACCAAUGAGAUAUAUACACACUCACUUAUCUAAAGAGAUAUAUAGAAUGAAUAAGUUAAUGAGAUGAUGAUGUCUGGGAUAUGGAGCAAUGUGCCAUUGAUGAUUGACAUAAGAAAACAAAGUGAUGGCUUAUGUUACCAGUGUAGCCUAAUUCACCCUCCCUAUGUAGACAACCUUCUUCUUGUUCUUUGCAUAGAAAACGUUUCUUCUAUUUUUAUUCCCCUAUAUUCAUUUUCACCAUCCUAAGCUAUAGUAUGGAGUUGUGAUAUAAAAUUCUUUUAAUUUUUUUAGACUAUUAUUUUUGUCUUUCUCUUUCAGAAUAAAGUAAUCAUUAAAUCAUCGUUGAAUUAUUUAAAGUUAUGAAUUCAGAAACAUAUGCAAAUUAUCGCCUUGUGAAAGAAUGAAAAAUAAAAUUUCUUGUUACACUUCCCAUUUCAGGAGAACCUUUUAUAUAAUCUUGAUUUAUUGAAAAAUCAAAAAUUUAAAACCGAAAGCUGAGAGCUAAAACUAAUAAGAAAAAAAAAACACUAGUUUCGUUAAGACUCUAUCGUAACCCUAUUGACAUGUUGGCUUGGAAUACCAGGAACCUCCCCAACACUCUUAUACUUAACUGUAAGCAAACACUUACAAUAUACUUCAGAUCAUAUAUAUUUGUUUAUAACAUGUGUAUAUAGCGUAUGAGUAUUUAAAUAAGAAAAUAAAAUAAUUACAAUCCCAAGAUCUGAGUAGAUGCAACCCAUUCCUUCUAUAAACAAAUAAGUAAGUUUGUAAAAUAGUUUGUAUUAGUAUAUCUGCAUGCUUGCAUGCGCAUUUUUCUCUUGUUUUUCUUUUUCAUCUCUAGUUUCACUUCACAUUCUUCUUGGGUUUUUCACUUCCGACCCAAUUUUUAUUUUAUUAUAAUAACCAUGACGAUGGUAGUGAUACCACAAUUUAAUCAGAUAAUACUUUCAUGCAGUCCAAUUUGAAAGUGUUAAAUAUUUGAAAAUGAGCACAAGAGGUUUUAUAACUCGAAUCUUUUUAUAGUCUGUACAGAAAAAAAAAACAAAAAGACAAUUUUAAAGGUGGACGUUUGAAGAACAAAUUAUCCUUUUUACAAAAGGUUAAUAUCUGUCUCCAAUCGAUUUUGACAUGAUUUCAAAGACAUAUAGUGACAUAGCAUUAACGAACAUCUAACGGAAUCCUAAAUCACUUUAACUAAAAGAAGUUCAUAAAGAAAGAAAAAGUAUUAAGUUAGUCAUACAACUAGUUCAUUCUGUUCAUAAAGGGGUUCUAAGUAUUUAUAAAUAUCAAUUUUUCUUGGAGUGGUUCUCAACCUUUUCAAACAGGUCAACAUUUUUUACUUCCUUUUAUAAAAGGUUUUUGUUAAAUUAAGAAAAGUUCUUUCGAAAGAUGAAACUUGAAUCCUUUAUAUAUUUACUUAUCAGUUAAAGAAGUUCAUUCAUAUUAGACCCAAUACAAUUUUGUUCAUAAAGGGGUUCUAAUUAAGUAUUUAUAAUUAUCAAUUUCUAUGCAGACAUAGGAAAGGCUCCGCGCUUUCUAAUAAAUAUAUAUAUGGGUUAUUAUAUAUCCAUGCCUGACAAAAAGAAAAUGCUUAAUUUGAUUUAAUUUAAGAUUAAGGAGAUGAAGAUGAAAAAAUUAUUAACCCAUAUUAUUUUUUCAUUUAAGCUCUGGCUGUAAAAAAGCUGAACAACUUUUACCAUAUUAUUUUUUUCCGAAGUAUAUUAAAAAGAAGACAAUAUAUUUAUUCACUGUUUUAGGUUUUGUUCCAAGCUAUCACCACUAUUUUGUCAGUAGUACCAUAGAUUCAUGAUUAAAAAUGACUCAAAACCUUUCUUAAUAAAUAAAUUUUAAACCUUAAAUGAAAAACUUAAGCCAAACAUAGUAUCUCAAUAUUGUCUAUAAUUUCUUAAAAUAAAGGAUAAUAUCCUCACACAGUUUUUUGUAGUAGUGUUAAAAAGAACAGUAAUAGUAUAUUCGGAAUAAAAACCUUUUAAAUAUAGCAUCUACGGUAUUUUUUUAGCUUUUAUGAACUAUUUUAAUGAUUUAUUCUUGUUUUUGUUGUUGGUAAACAAAUAUUUUGAGAUGAUUUGUGUAUUGGAUGCAAACGGCAUAUUUAAAUUAAGGAAAUGCUAAUUGGGAGGCAGGAUAAAAUUCUUAUUAAUGUCCAUCGAAUUUUUUUUAUUAAAAAUGUUUGAAUAUGUAAUGUGCAUUGGAGUUAACUAUGACAUAUUCUUAUUACGGGUUGGUUUUGUCGUUGAAACAAACAAGAACGUUAUAUUAAGUUCAAAAAACAAACAAGAUGUUAUGGAGUCACACAACACUAUUUCGUACAGAAAUGAUACCUCUAGUUUUUAAAUGUAAUUUUUUUCCUACAAUUUUGACAUCUUUUAAAAGGAUAGUCCACGUAUGAGACUAUGUUAUGAUUGCAUGGGUAAAUACUUUAAUGUACAAGACGUGAAACUUAAUGCAAAACUAUCAAUAAAGGUCGAUAUGAUUCUUUAAACCAAAAAAAGUUCGAUAUGAUUCCGACAAUAUUUUAGAUUUAUGACUUUGAAACCCAAAAGGAACAGACAUUUACCACUUUGAACCGAAAAUAGAACCCCCAAACUUGUUUUUUUCCUCAACGGACCAACGUUAAAUCCACAAAUUAAGGAAUUGAAGAAAAGAGGAGACAAAAAAACAAGAAAGGAAAAGGGAAGAACAUGGAUUUGUAAAUGGUGAAAAGAGGGACAGUCAAAGGUCAGAGAGGGACAAAUCAUUUGUUUAGUAGUUAUCAUAAAGUGUCGGACAGUUAAUACCGUUACUUACGAGUCAAAUGUCUCUAUUACGUUUUCACUUAUCACUAGUUAGUGGUAACUUACUUAAAUUACUUUUUCAAAAAAAAAAAAACUUACUUAAAUUACCCUCCCAUCAAUCGAUUUAUAUUUUCAAAAUUUCUGUAUUGUGAAAAAGCCAUGCAUUGUUGACGCAAUUUUUUGUUGUUGUUACUUGUCAACUAUUGAUACGUACUACUAACCAUGUUAUGUAUACAAUGCAUCUUUACAUAAACCUCUUUCAGUAGACUAAAUUCACAUUCAAAUCUUUUGAGUUAAACAUGUUUAAAUUGGAAAAUAUUGAGAAAUAAUAACAAUAAAUAUUUAUUGCCCUUUUCAAAAAUAAAAAUAAAGAUUUAUGGUUUUUAGUAAUUACUUGAACUAAAUUUGUUAAAACUUACAUAUACUUACUACUUAGGCAGAUAAAUGACAACUUUUAAAACAGUUAAAGGACAACUUUACGUAUACAGCAUGUAUGUAAGGAGUUUAUGAAGACAAAAGGAGGAAAGAAUCUAACUUAUAGCAAGAAGAGUGGUGAACGUAAGAUGGAGAGAGUGAACAGUCAAAAUACAUUCAUUCAUUCCUUUGUUUUUUUUUCUCUUUUAGAAAUUAAAAUUUAUGUCGUUUGUUUUUGGGACAUUACCUACGUUCAUUUCAACUCUUUCAACCUUUCGGUCAUCUCUAUACGAAUAUACCCCCAUUUGUUUUACAUUUUUAUUUUCUUUUAAAAUUUAUGAAGUUACAUUGGCGCCUACAAUUCAAAAGAUUUAGUUUGACUGGUUUACACCAUGUGAAUCCCAUAGGAUAAAUUAUAAAUAAUUCAUAUGGUUUCUGACGUAUGCGUUAUACAUACCUAUAUUGCAUGUUAAAUAAUGCCCUUUUCUGAGAUGGUGAAUAGAUAGAUAUGUCGAAUUUUUAGUAUAUGAAGUUGAAAUUAUAAGAAAUAUCCUAAAAGUAUUUGCAUCGACAUUCAUUUGCUAAGGAAAAAGGUUAAAAAUGUCUUCAAAAAAGGGUAAUGGACGUUUAAUAUAGGAUUAAGUAGCAAAGGAGCAAACAUGGAACAUGUUCAUCUCCUAUGAAUGAGGUGAAUAAGUCAAAAAAAGAAGAAGAAUAAGUCAAAGUAGGUCUAGUUGCUGGACCGGUUCUAAGGACAACCGGAUAAAAAUCCAUCUUAAUCCCAAUUUUUUUUAAAACUAAGAACUAUUAUACGUAGACCACAUGGUCCAUAUACUAUCCAUAACUUUUUAGUAAGAUAAACCUGAUAAUGUUUGCCAAAGCUCCUUUAGAUUAAUGUUUGACAAAGUGGUCACUAAUGGUUAUACAUCAUGAAGUCUAAGUUCUGAAUCUUAUAGAAGGCAAAAUUGUGCUGGAGAUUUUUUUUAUAAAAGAUGGAGCAAAAAAUACCAUAAAACGUAGAUCUUAUAAGUCGGUUCAAAGUGAUGCAGUAAAAUGUAAAUUCUUAUAAAAAAUAGAAUCAUCAAUUAUAUAAUCGUUAUAAUAUUUUCAUGGUUUGCAAUAGCAUAGCUAUUCAACGUUAAGAAAAACCAAAUAAUGUUUUUUGGCCAUAAAUUUUCGAUCCGGCUUUGUUGCGCUGUCCACGUACAAAACUAUGGCAUAUAUAAUUCACGAGGUUUGAAAUAGUGUUCCUUUUAUUUGUUUAGUUAGUUCUCAAUAUUUUUCUUUCAAAUGAAUGACAAGAGAAAUCGUAUGAGACGAAUAUGAGAGAUAGGUUAAGAAUCAGGAUGUUUUCGUUCACAGUAUAUAUAAGAAAUUAUUAUAAGAGAUUGUAGCUUAUGGAACAACAUUAAGGGUAUGACUGGUUUCCUCGCUGCCACACGCAUGCGGUUGGUAGCGGUUAUUGGCGUUUUGCAACAAUCACUCAAACCGCUCUAAAUCGUUUCAAACCUCAUAAACUCAAAACUGGCUUCAGCUAGCGUUUGCGGUUACGGGAGGAUAAUUUUUUUCAAAACAAUAUAAACAUAAAAAUAAAAAAUUCAAUAAAAAUUUUAAAUUGGAAUUAUAAAAAUACUAAAAUAUAUCUAUUUUAUAUUUUAAUUAAUAUUAUAAAAUUUAACUUUUAAAAUAUAAUUUUUAUAUUUAUUAUAAUAUUAUAAUUUUUUAUAUUUUUAUAAUUAUAUAAAAUAUAAAUAUUGUUAAUUUAUUAUUUAACUGUUGUUGCAUCUGAUAGUUAAUCAGUCAUAAGUAUCCUGCAAAUGCACCAAUUUCUAACUAUAGAACCAGUCGUACAAAUCUCUUAAAACCGCUAGAACUGUAACCAUCCGCAUCAGCAAACUCCUGCGACCGCAACCGCAACCGAUACAUUUAAACAAGUCAGGCCCUAAGACGAUAACGUUUGUGGGCAGCAUCAUUAGCAAAGAGAACUACGUCUAUUAGCAUUAGAAACAAGUGAUGCUCUUCAUCAUCAUCAUCAUCAUAAACUACUUCCAAAGUGUUAUUACACGUAUGUGGUAUGCCGUAUAUAUAUGCAUAUACAGUUCUUUAUAGUAACCUACAUAUAUAUGUAGGUGUAGCCAUCGCAAUAUCUAGGUGUAUUGUAUAUUAGGGUAUAACAACGAACUUAGUAGAGUAGUAUGAAAUUACCUUAAACUUGGUUUAGUUUGGUUGAAACGCGUAAUUAAUAUCUUAGUAUGAAACUAAGAGUAUACACUUUAAGCAAAUAACUAGAUUUUGAUCCGCGCUUUUAAAGCGCGGAUUUAUUUUUUUAUUUUUUAAUUGACAAAUAUUUAGUAAAUGUCGUAUUUUUAUAUAUUUGUCUUUUAUUUUUAUGAAUGCUUAAAUUAUAUUAAGAAAAUAAAAAAAUAAUAAUUAAGAAUAGUUGAAAAAAAAUUAUUUUAACUUGGACUCAAUGGUCCAAAUGAAAAAAAAAAAGUGAGAAUUGAAUCUGAUUUUUUAAUAGGUCCAAAUGGCCCAAGAGAGAUUUGAUUUGGGCUGGAUCCAAAAAUAAUGAUCCAAUAUAGAUUUGUUAUUAAUAUUACUUAAUUGCCCUUAAUGAAACAUGCAAUGUUAGUGAAGAAAACAUACCCCUAAGGUAAUUAUGACAAUAGGAUCCUGCUUUAAUAAUAUAGAUUGAUUUCUCUUGAACCAACUUGCACUCAAUUUGCUCAUUCAACUGCGUAUUGUAUUUGAUUCAAAUAGAUUGCUGUGAUUUUGGUGUUUUACGUGGUUAUCAAAUGUGUUCAUACUCAUAAGCGCAGAAGAUCAGAAAGCAAUAAACAAGACAGAGAAGAUUGAAUCAAAAUAAAGCGAAGCAGUUAAUGACAGCAUUCAGACAGACAAGAACAUGGUCUUCCUUACAAAUCUUAACUCUAUAUGUUUUUCAAACAAAAGACCAUCCGUGCAUCCAAGGCACAACAACACAUAGCUUAGUACGGUCCACCGAAACUGCCAUCCUCUCACAAAAACUGCUUCAAAGCGCCUGUUACAAUUUCCUUUACUCAGAUAAAUCAGUCUAUGAAGUGGUUAAUGCCCAAAAGACCCAUCUAUAAGAACAAUAGUAUAAGUCAUACCUCUCCAGAGAAUAGGAAGCCAUAGAUUGGUGCUCAAAACUGGCGCCUUGGAGGCCUAGCCUCAGCUUCAGACACUCUAAUCUGCCUCCCGUCCAAAUCCUACAACAGGGUACAAAGUAUAAGCACAUCAAGAAUAGUUUCAUUGAUCAAACUGUCGGAAUAAAAAAGAUACUUACAGCACCAUCCAAUGUUCUGAUGGCAUUCUGAACCUCUUGAGCAGAGUUGUAAGUCACAAACCCAAAACCUUUCGACCUACCACUGUCCCUGUCGUAGAUGACUCUAGCCUCAACAACCUUCCCUUGCUCCCCGAACAAACUCUCGAGCGCCAUGUCGUCAACACCCCACGAGAGGUUACCAACAUAAACACGGUUCCCUGAACCAGCACCACCACCACCACCUCCACCAUAUCCUCCACCAGAGCUUCCAAAGCUGCUUCUAGGUCCUCUUGAGAAGGAGUCUUCCCUCUUCGGUGGAGGAGGACCCGCGUUAACUCUCAACGGUCUACCAUCCAACUCCUGCAAACAAAACCCAAUAAGAACAACAAAACAACACAAAGGUUCCAACUUUUUGUCUUUAGCAACCACAAGUUUUUGUCUUUAGCAACACAAAGGUUCCGACAUAAGGUAGAGAAGUAAGUAUGUUCUUACAUAGCCAUUGAACAACACAAAGGUUCCAACUUUUUGUCUUUAAACGCAUACUUACAUAGCCAUUGAACUGCUGUUCAGCUGUCUCAACUUCAGAAGCUGAAGACAUAGUCACAAACCCAAAACCUCUGCUUCUCCCUGUCACCUUGUCAUAGAUAACCUAAACAAAGACAACAAAACGAACAAUCACUAAAACCAAUCUCAAACAACAACAACAACAACAACAAAAAAGAUUCAAUCUUUAUCUCAUUUCUCGAAAACCCAUAACUCAAUUUUGAGUUUUUGACUCGUUACCUCAACCAUCUCGACGUUUCCGGCGCUCUCGAAGAGCUGAGCGAGCUGAGCGCUGUCGACGUUAAAGGGGAGGUUACCGACGAAGAGCUUGAGGUCAGAAGAGAAGGAUUGCUCCCGCCGCGGGGGAGGAGGAGCGUCGUCGUCAGCGAAGAUGCCGUCUUCUUCGACUGAGAAGUCGUCAGUAACCGCGACGUUACGGACGAAGCGAGAGGAAGCGGCGGAGAUGGAGAGGGAGAGGGAGGCGGAGAGGGAGUGGAGAUUGAAGGAGAGGGAAGGAGGUAGGAGGGAAACGGAGGCGGGUCUGGAGAUGGAGAAAGGAAGGGACUUGGGGGUGAAAGUGGAGAGAGCGAGAGAGGAAGCUGAAGCAGCCAUGGUGAAGAGAUGAGAAGAGAUAAGGUUUGUUUUUAGCUUUAGGGGUUUUUGAGAGUGGAGAUAAGAUGGUGUGUUUCUGAUAUUUAUGGGCCAAAUGGGAAUAAAUAUCUUUGCACAAAAUAUCUCAUUCUGAUUUUUAUUUACAAAUUUUGCCUCAAAACUUUAUUUGAUUGCUAAAUAUUCUGCUGCUAAUAAAAUUUGUCAAAUUUCAAUGAAUUUAUCUUAACGUCAUCUCUGAAAAAAAGUAUGUAUUUAAAAAAAAUAUAGGUUUUCAUAAAUUUGUAGACAAUUUCUUUAGAAAAUCUUAAUUUUCAAAAUAUUUUGUAUUUUUCUCACUUUAGUGGUGUUAGUUAUCUUUUUAUUGGAAGUCUCUACUUACUACUUGUCAUACGCUGAAGUGAGAUGACAGAUGAGAUGAGAUCUAAGCCGUAGAGUUUUGGAUGGACAGUGGAGAUGGCACGUCUCAUGCCAAAACCAAAAGAAAAAAUCUAUAAGAUAGGAUUUUUUAACUAAAAGCCAAUGGAAGUAGCAACUCUCGUUCCAGCACAGAUCUUUAACUCCAAUAAAUUCAGAAAACAAUACAGUUCCUCUAAAGAAAACCAUUGAAUCAUACAAAGGUUGCUCCCUUCAAAACAAGUUAAUAAGAAAUGAUGUAUUUGGAUAACAACAGAAGACUGAAGUUCUUGAACUGCAACACGCUUUUAGGAUCUCUUCAAUUGGAGGGUCAUCUCGAGCUUCUUUGUCCUGAAAUGUUCCAACAAACAAGUUGUUGAGUACGAGAUUGUGAUUAAUUUAUCUCUUUGAUUACAUUGACAUGGUGUAAACACAAGUAUUUGAUCAAAACGUGUUACCUGGUCCAUACUCCCCGGUCCGAUCAAAACAAGAGAAACACCAGAUGCAUCCAUCACAUGCUAAGAAAACCUCAAAUGUAUCACUUAAUGAAAUGACCAAACCAUCAUCAAGAUUUUGACAGUGGGGUGAAUCAUUUUACCUUCUUUUACGACAAGCAAGCUUUAAUACCCAACAUAGUAGUAGUAACCAAACACAUUCACCAAAUCUAAUAAGAAACUUCUCCAAAAAGAUUUAACCACCCAAAAUGACGAGCAAAUGCAACAACAGCCUUCCUAUCCUUCCACAAAAUCAGAAAUCAACAGUCUCUCUCCCUGUUCCAGUUCCUGUGAAGAAGAACCGAUUCAAUCUAGUUUAUAAUCUUUUCAGCUUCUCCAAAACAGAACAGAUUCUAAAACUUACCUGAAGCGCCGGUAAUGGCCGACACUGCCACCACGUUACGCCGGAGAGAAAAAUCUACUGGAGAUGAGAACUGGCCAAAGAACCAAACUUUACUGUCCCGUAAACCCAUGAAUCGUUUUUCAUCUUCUGAUUCAGCGUAACGGGAGUGAUCGUCGACGAAGACGGCGAUGAGAGAGAAACCGCCAUUGUUGUUUUUACUCCGGGAAAGCCGAAAGAAAUAAGAAAAAUCCUAACUUUAACGUUUUAGUUAGAAAAAAAAAAUCAAAUUAAAAAAAAUCAAACUUUAAGUUAUUACACGUUGUAUAGAUGACGUAAGCAUUGUCCGAAACAGAAAAAAGUCAAACGCCACGUAAGCUCAGUAAGAGUAAAAUUUUUUGGAAAAGGUAGAUCUUUUUUAAAAGCGAACUAGAUUUUGAUCCGCACAUCCGUGCGGGUAUUCGUUUAAACUUUUAAAAACAUACAAUAGAUAUUUACAUAAAAUUGUUAUAUUAGCGUUUUAUACCAGCUCAAAUAAGAUAAGCUUUUAGCACAUAUAUAAUUAUUAGUAAUACUAUAAGUAAGUAAUUAUUUGAGGUUUAUUUAUUUUAUGUUAUUCAUGUACAUUAAUAUUUAAAAUUUUAAAAAUAGUUAUUAUAUAUAAUAUAAAUGGACUACUUAGUUUUGGAAAGGAAAAAAAUUGAUAUUUUUUAAUAUUUAUGGAAUGGUAAAAACUAUUUUAUAUUGAUUUUAUAUCAUAUCAUUCGUAUUAAUAUAUAUAUGUACAGUUCACAACAGGUAAAAUUAAUUAAUUUUUAACUUUAAGAAAGAUUUUGUUAAGAUAUAUUAUCAUUUGAAACAAUAAUUAAUAUUUCCAUAUAUAAAAGUAAUUGAUGGUAUAUUUUUAAGGAAGAUUUUGUUAAGUUUAACUAAUAUAGUGCUCUUUUGCGAAAUAGACACUUUUUAUUAAUAAUAUUUUAUACGUACAAUCAUAUAAAUAAUCACAUAUAUUAUAUUUUAAAAUUUAAUGUGAAAUAUAAAAGCUAUAAUUUAAGUUGGUGUUUGAAAUUGGGCUUUGUAUUGCAUUUUUUUUGUAGAGUUUUGGAUGGACAGUGGAGAUGGCACGUCUCAUGCCAAAACCAAAAGAAAAAAUCUAUAAGAUAGGAUUUUUUAACUAAAAGCCAAUGGAAGUAGCAACUCUCGUUCCAGCACAGAUCUUUAACUCCAAUAAAUUCAGAAAACAAUACAGUUCCUCUAAAGAAAACCAUUGAAUCAUACAAAGGUUGCUCCCUUCAAAACAAGUUAAUAAGAAAUGAUGUAUUUGGAUAACAACAGAAGACUGAAGUUCUUGAACUGCAACACGCUUUUAGGAUCUCUUCAAUUGGAGGGUCAUCUCGAGCUUCUUUGUCCUGAAAUGUUCCAACAAACAAGUUGUUGAGUACGAGAUUGUGAUUAAUUUAUCUCUUUGAUUACAUUGACAUGGUGUAAACACAAGUAUUUGAUCAAAACGUGUUACCUGGUCCAUACUCCCCGGUCCGAUCAAAACAAGAGAAACACCAGAUGCAUCCAUCACAUGCUAAGAAAACCUCAAAUGUAUCACUUAAUGAAAUGACCAAACCAUCAUCAAGAUUUUGACAGUGGGGUGAAUCAUUUUACCUUCUUUUACGACAAGCAAGCUUUAAUACCCAACAUAGUAGUAGUAACCAAACACAUUCACCAAAUCUAAUAAGAAACUUCUCCAAAAAGAUUUAACCACCCAAAAUGACGAGCAAAUGCAACAACAGCCUUCCUAUCCUUCCACAAAAUCAGAAAUCAACAGUCUCUCUCCCUGUUCCAGUUCCUGUGAAGAAGAACCGAUUCAAUCUAGUUUAUAAUCUUUUCAGCUUCUCCAAAACAGAACAGAUUCUAAAACUUACCUGAAGCGCCGGUAAUGGCCGACACUGCCACCACGUUACGCCGGAGAGAAAAAUCUACUGGAGAUGAGAACUGGCCAAAGAACCAAACUUUACUGUCCCGUAAACCCAUGAAUCGUUUUUCAUCUUCUGAUUCAGCGUAACGGGAGUGAUCGUCGACGAAGACGGCGAUGAGAGAGAAACCGCCAUUGUUGUUUUUACUCCGGGAAAGCCGAAAGAAAUAAGAAAAAUCCUAACUUUAACGUUUUAGUUAGAAAAAAAAAAUCAAAUUAAAAAAAAUCAAACUUUAAGUUAUUACACGUUGUAUAGAUGACGUAAGCAUUGUCCGAAACAGAAAAAAGUCAAACGCCACGUAAGCUCAGUAAGAGUAAAAUUUUUUGGAAAAGGUAGAUCUUUUUUAAAAGCGAACUAGAUUUUGAUCCGCACAUCCGUGCGGGUAUUCGUUUAAACUUUUAAAAACAUACAAUAGAUAUUUACAUAAAAUUGUUAUAUUAGCGUUUUAUACCAGCUCAAAUAAGAUAAGCUUUUAGCACAUAUAUAAUUAUUAGUAAUACUAUAAGUAAGUAAUUAUUUGAGGUUUAUUUAUUUUAUGUUAUUCAUGUACAUUAAUAUUUAAAAUUUUAAAAAUAGUUAUUAUAUAUAAUAUAAAUGGACUACUUAGUUUUGGAAAGGAAAAAAAUUGAUAUUUUUUAAUAUUUAUGGAAUGGUAAAAACUAUUUUAUAUUGAUUUUAUAUCAUAUCAUUCGUAUUAAUAUAUAUAUGUACAGUUCACAACAGGUAAAAUUAAUUAAUUUUUAACUUUAAGAAAGAUUUUGUUAAGAUAUAUUAUCAUUUGAAACAAUAAUUAAUAUUUCCAUAUAUAAAAGUAAUUGAUGGUAUAUUUUUAAGGAAGAUUUUGUUAAGUUUAACUAAUAUAGUGCUCUUUUGCGAAAUAGACACUUUUUAUUAAUAAUAUUUUAUACGUACAAUCAUAUAAAUAAUCACAUAUAUUAUAUUUUAAAAUUUAAUGUGAAAUAUAAAAGCUAUAAUUUAAGUUGGUGUUUGAAAUUGGGCUUUGUAUUGCAUUUUUUUUUAUAUAUUGAAAAUAUUUUUAUAAUAGUUAUUGGAAAAUAUGUUAGUAAAAAUUAAAUUUUGAAUAUAUGUAUACUUUUAAAUGAAUUUUUGAUAUAAAUCAAUUUUAAAUUAUUAUUUUGAUUUGAAUAUAUAUAUCAAGUAACAUAGACCCAUUAUUUUUUAAUAUAAUAUAAUAGACUUCCAAUUUUUUAGUAGCAUAAGCCUAAUAUGUUUUUUCCUAACUUACUACUAUCUAUGUUUCCAAACAAUACUAUUUUUUUUAACUACUAUCCAUAUUGCCAAACAAUCUCAGUGUGUACUUCAACUUUAAUAAUAUAUAUAUAUAUAGAUGUUCCUUCUUUGCACGUUUAAGGGAUCUCAAGCCGCUUCUCUCUCUCACACAUCUCUGAAAUGGCGAGAGUAUUGCGUGUGGCGAGAUCCUCCUCCUCCCUCUUCAGCUUCGGAAGCAGAUCUUAUUCAGCCGAAGCUAGCCACGUGUCCUCUCCCCCUCCUCCGUUUCUUGGAGCUCGCAGAGACGUUACCAAGGAGAGAAACGUGCAGUGGGUGUUCCUCGGUUGUCCCGGUGUCGGGAAGGGGACUUACGCCAGCAGACUCUCGAGUCUCCUCGGUGUUCCUCACAUCGCCACCGGAGAUCUCGUCCGUGAUGCGCUAGCUUCUUCCGGACCUCUCUCCCGACAGGUUCUUGUUUCACUUUAUGUCCAAAUGAAUCCCAAAACGACGUCGUUUUCUGUUUAAAUCUGCUAAAAGUUCAUGUGUCUACCAACAGAUCUAAUGAACUAGUGUUUGUUUUGUCCUAACGGAUCUGAUCCUUUUUCUAAUAAUAGUCAACGGCUCUCUCCUCUUGCUUGUAUUGAGAUUCUUAUUACUUGAUUGCAGCUAUCAGAGAUUGUAAACCAGGGGAAGCUUGUUUCUGAUGAGAUCAUAGUGAACUUAUUAUCAAAGAGACUUGAAGCUGGUGAAGCCAAGGGCGAAUCAGGUUUCAUUCUUGAUGGCUUUCCUCGUACCAUGAGACAAGCUGUAAGUUAAUUCAUUGACUUCACAUCAUAUUGAGCAAAGUUUUGAAUGAUUAAUCUUUGUGUUUUCAGGAAAUAUUAGGAGAUGUCACUGACAUCGAUCUAGUGGUGAACUUAAAGCUACCUGAGGAGGUUUUGGUUGACAAAUGCUUAGGGAGGAGAACGUGUAAUCAAUGCGGUAAAGGUUUCAAUAUAGCUCACAUCAACUUAAAGGGUGAGAAUGGGAAACCAGGAAUCAGCAUGGAUCCACUUCUCCCUCCACCUCAGUGUAUGUCAAAGCUCAUCACUCGUGCUGAUGAUACUGAGGAGGUUGUGAAAGCUAGGCUCCGUAUUUACAAUGAAACCGUAAGUCCUCUUUCUCUCUCUCUAUUGUUCUUCCCAUUUUAGCGAUGCUUGAUGCUUUGAAUGAUGUGUGCAGAGCCAGCCUCUUGAAGAGUACUACCGUAUCAAGGGAAAGCUGAUGGAGUUUGACUUACCUGGAGGCAUCCCUGAGUCUUGGCCAAGGCUGUUAGAAGCUUUAAGGCUUGAUGAUUACGAGGAGAAGCAAUCUGCCGCGGCGUAGUUCAACUACAACUCCGGUUUAUAAUUCUUUGCAUGUGGAAGACAUGUGCCUAUAUCAGUUUUGUGUUGGAAAAUAAAGAAAACCUUAGAUUGUUUUUUUUUAUUGCCUCAGAUCAGAAUAAUCAUCAUCAUACACACUUUGCAAACUAUAUGAUGUAUCAUGAUUGUUUAUGAGUUUGCUAGUUACAGGAAUGUAUAAACACUUUGGUACACUUUUGAUUAUUUAUUGUUGAAUGUGAUCAAUGAUUGUUUAUGAGUUUGCUAGUUACAUUACAUGAAUGUAUCAAUACUUACACUGCUUGUUACACAUCAGGUUUGAUGUUUGGGCUCUUGUGAUUAGUUUGUUUAUUGUUGAAUGUGUGUGAUAAUAUUGCGGCUGGCCGAGCUGGCUGGUUAAAGAACACAACCAGACAGUAAAGUAAAACAGUCGCAUACAUUAAAGAUUUUGUGGAACGUAUAACCAGCUCCUGUCUGUCCUAGAAUUGGCGGUUCAGGAUAGAACUGUUCCUUACAUACUGGAACUUCCAGUAGAAUUUGAUGCUAAUUGUUGGUCCUAAACUAGUGUGUAUCAGUUGCUAUGUGAUCUCAUAACUGGACCUUAUCUUAUGGUUUGUGCUUGAGGUUUCUGAGAAAUCGCUGGGUUCAUUUGAUUCUUCUGGUUUGACAAUUAGUUUCUUGUUAUGGACACGGUGAAAUCAGACUCAAAUCGGUGGAAUAAGACAGCCUCAAAGAAGGCAGACAUAAUCAUGUUUGCUCUUGAUUCAUCUUCAAUCUCAACAGGACAUUAAAAUCAAUUUGUAGCUUUAUUUUGUUAGUAUAUAGAUUUGAUGAAAUAAACAACCUUUAAAUUAUAAAUAUAAAGAUGAAAAUAUUCUUAAACAUGAAACCGUUUUGAUCAAGAUUCAAAAAAAACUUCAUUAAAAGAUAGGGACAUCUUCUGAAACAUAUCCAAAAAGCUCUAAUGAAAAACAGCAAGAUAAGGUCUUUGAGAUGUAAUGCAAACUCAAGGCCUAGGAAGAUCCUCCUUAACGGUUGGCCUUCGCAACUCUCUCAAUCUCAUCCUUCUUCUUGAUGGCAUAGCUGCAAAAAAACAAGACAAGAUGCUAUUAGUAUUUAGCAACAAACAAACACAAUUUGUGAACCCGCUUUAAGAGACAAGACAAUGUAAAGAUGUUUACCUGUUGGAAGAUCCCUUGGCAGCAUUGAUGAGCUCAUCAGCAAGGCACUCAGCGAUUGUCUUGAUGUUUCUAAACGCAGCUUCACGUGCACCAGUGGUGAGCAAGAAGAUGGCUUGGUUCACACGUCUUAGAGGAGAGAUAUCAACAGCCUGCCUCCUAACCACACCAGCAGAUCCAAUCCUCGUCGCAUCCUCACGUGGACCACUAGCUCACCAAUAAAACACACACAACAUUAGAAAAAAAGGUUUCUAGUAACACGCAAUAAAGAAUGCAACAUUGUUGUCUUACCUGUUGACAAUGGCAUCAAUGAUAACCUGAAUAGGGUUCAAGUCAGUCAAGAGAUGGAUGAUCUCCAUGGCGUGCUUGAUGAUCCUCACAGCCAUCAGCUUCUUUCCGUUGUUCCUUCCGUGCAUCAUGAGAGAGUUCGUGAGCCUCUCAACAAUGGGACACUGAGCCUUCCUGAACCUCUUGACAGAGUAUCUUCCAGCAGUGUGGGGGACAAAGGUCGCGUGCUUAGGAGGCUGAACCCCAAUGUAGUCAACAAGACUAAUGUCUGUGCCCUACCCAUUCACAAAAAAAAAAAACACAAGAUCAACAAAACAAAUACUAAGAACAUAGCCAUUGUUGCCAAUUUAAAUUUUAGAGAUCUAAUAUUCAAAAACAAACCAAACAACACAGAAAGUGUUGGACUUUAAGACAAAGAAACAUCAGGAUCAACCAAGUGUACUGAGACAAUAAAACAUGAAUUGAAAAUUAACAAAAAUAAAAACAAAAAGAGGACAUUUUUUCCGACAUAACUCCAUGAGUUAUAUCUAAUUCAGACAAUGUAACUAUUUUUUUGUAAUAGACCAAUCAUUUCAUUGUAGAAUUAGAUCCUAUAAAGAUUGCAAAUGAGCUAUCGUAAACUUACCGAAACGUCAUCAAAGCUCCAGCGAUUGAAGAGCUUGACCUCGUUGGUAAGCUGCUGCUGAAUCUCAGCGUCAAUCUCAACGGCGGCGGCCAUGGCUGGAAACACCAAACAUACUUACACUGCUUGUUACACAUCAGGUUUGAUGUUUGGGCUCUUGUGAUUAGUUUGUUUAUUGUUGAAUGUGUGUGAUAAUAUUGCGGCUGGCCGAGCUGGCUGGUUAAAGAACACAACCAGACAGUAAAGUAAAACAGUCGCAUACAUUAAAGAUUUUGUGGAACGUAUAACCAGCUCCUGUCUGUCCUAGAAUUGGCGGUUCAGGAUAGAACUGUUCCUUACAUACUGGAACUUCCAGUAGAAUUUGAUGCUAAUUGUUGGUCCUAAACUAGUGUGUAUCAGUUGCUAUGUGAUCUCAUAACUGGACCUUAUCUUAUGGUUUGUGCUUGAGGUUUCUGAGAAAUCGCUGGGUUCAUUUGAUUCUUCUGGUUUGACAAUUAGUUUCUUGUUAUGGACACGGUGAAAUCAGACUCAAAUCGGUGGAAUAAGACAGCCUCAAAGAAGGCAGACAUAAUCAUGUUUGCUCUUGAUUCAUCUUCAAUCUCAACAGGACAUUAAAAUCAAUUUGUAGCUUUAUUUUGUUAGUAUAUAGAUUUGAUGAAAUAAACAACCUUUAAAUUAUAAAUAUAAAGAUGAAAAUAUUCUUAAACAUGAAACCGUUUUGAUCAAGAUUCAAAAAAAACUUCAUUAAAAGAUAGGGACAUCUUCUGAAACAUAUCCAAAAAGCUCUAAUGAAAAACAGCAAGAUAAGGUCUUUGAGAUGUAAUGCAAACUCCUUACAUAGCCAUUGAACUGCUGUUCAGCUGUCUGAACCUCAGAGGCUGAAGACAUAGUCACAAACCCAAAACCUCUGCUUCUCCCUGUCACCUUGUCAUAGAUAACCUAAACAAAGACAACAAAACGAACAAUCACUAAAACCAAUCUCAAACAACAACAACAACAACAACAAAAAAGAUUCAAUCUUUAUCUCAUUUCUCGAAAACCCAUAACUCAAUUUUGAGUUUUUGACUCGUUACCUCAACCAUCUCGACGUUUCCGGCGCUCUCGAAGAGCUGAGCGAGCUGAGCGCUGUCGACGUUAAAGGGGAGGUUACCGACGAAGAGCUUGAGGUCAGAAGAGAAGGAUUGCUCCCGCCGCGGGGGAGGAGGAGCGUCGUCGUCAGCGAAGAUGCCGUCUUCUUCGACUGAGAAGUCGUCAGUAACCGCGACGUUACGGACGAAGCGAGAGGAAGCGGCGGAGAUGGAGAGGGAGAGGGAGGCGGAGAGGGAGUGGAGAUUGAAGGAGAGGGAAGGAGGUAGGAGGGAAACGGAGGCGGGUCUGGAGAUGGAGAAAGGAAGGGACUUGGGGGUGAAAGUGGAGAGAGCGAGAGAGGAAGCUGAAGCAGCCAUGGUGAAGAGAUGAGAAGAGAUAAGGUUUGUUUUUAG